UUUUUUUUGCUAUUCACGAGGGAGCAUGUGUGCAAAUGUGAUGAUCAUCAAGGAGAUUAGGAGUAUGAGAAGAAGCUAGGAGAUAUAGUCUUUUGUUAUGAAAAGAAGAUGAUAAUCUAGAUACCCAUAAUAUUGCUAGAAAUCCUCUUGAAUUAGUACCGGGCUGCCACGUCCAUGGUUUGCAUACCCCGGGCUAUGUAUUUUUUUAUUAUGGGUGAAUAAAUGAGCUAGGGUGUUUAUCUGAAAGAGGCUACAAAAAUUAGAGCUUAUAUACUAGCCUAUGUAGAACUUUAAGGGGGCAACAAAAUAGUACACUUACUUUGUUAGUUAAAUAAAGACUUAAAAGUAUAUCAUAUGGAGCUGGGUACCUAUAUUAUAUUUUUUCCAUUUCAAUAAUGCAACAUGAUCAUCAAUGCAUGUGUUUGCAGGACAAUGAAUCUUCCAUUUAUGCAUUGGUCAAUGGAAUAGAUACUGUCUUACUGAUAUGCAUGCCUGUUCUUUACUGUAACCAAGGCAACAUUAAUAUUUCUUUAUCACCGGAAAUCUUUGAUUCAUUAAUUGAUCCCGGUUCAACUUUCUAUCUCAUUUCUGUGGCGAGCCAUGUUCUCACUCGUUGGCUCCUUAAUUCGUGAGAAUAUGGAAUUUUCUUAGCCGUGUGUAGCUUAGCGAUGUAAAAGGCAUGUCUACUGCAAGCAUUUGACUACGAUGACAUAUUUGGCCAAGCCGCUCCCCAUCUCGGAAUGGGUGUCCGUUUGUUUCAAUCCAUCGUGGGAUCAAGCCAAUGCAACUAUACAAAAAGUCGGACUAUGCGUAGUGCGAUGCAUAUUUGCAUGCUAUAUCGGACACAUGAAGUCCCACUGGUUAUUUUUCCCAACCCCAAAAAUAGUCGAUAAAUUAAAUAAUUUUCCAUGAAAGCAUGGUCAGUCCGUUUGAGGUCGCAAUGUGAUAGAUUACUUGUUUAUCUGAAGCAGAGUUCAAAUUUUUUUCCGGAAGAAAAUAGAGUUUAUUAAUGUUCCAGAUUGACACCACUCAAGAUAAAAAUUACUGGUUUGCGAAAAAGAGAUAAAAUUCACUCCAUGGCAAAAAAGAAGUUAAAACUCAAUGCAUUCCAAAUUUAUUAAUACAUGUGAAUUCAAUACAAUACCAAUACAUGAACUUAGGACAGCGACGAAAUUCAUCAAGGACGUACAAACUACAAACAUGCAAUAUAUCGAUCCAUAUUUCUUUUCCACCUCUUUAUUAACCUCUUACAUACUAUUAGGGUCUUCGGUAUAUGUAUUAUAUCAUAGACAAAGCACACGAAAUGAUGUCCAGAUCAUUCUUCUUCUUCAUCAAUUCACACAAGAGGUUUAAAUUGUAUAUGUGAAUCCGGAAUUCAUGGCUUUGUAGCAAUGCUGCCUAACAAAUUAAAAUUUCAGCGUGUCAGCUUUCUGCGGAGCCACGCACACAAUAUAUAUGCAGAUGAGCAAUUAUAGUUCAUAUACCUGGGUUGGCUGGCUUUGCAUGUUUCCUGCUUGGUGCAGGCGUCGGCAGUGCGGCAGUACUUGAUGCUUUAGCUUUAGCUUCUGCACACAUGCGAAAUCACAAGAGAUCUAUAAAUUUAGAGAAACUCGUUGAUUAUUGAGAUAUCUUGAUUAUUUGAUCAUGUAAAGAAAAUGUGCGGCUUUGGGAGUCAGGGAAAGAAAGCUAGUUCAAAAAGGUGCCCGACGUCGACGAUGUUGCACACGAUCGUCGAGUACGUGUAGCUCUUGCUUCGAGACUAAUAGAAAGCUCGAGUGCUGGGACUACUAACCAGAAGAAGAUGCCGCUGGCUGCACAUGUGGGUUUCCUGCACGGUAAUAUCAAUCACUCAAACAGUAGUUGCACACGGAUAUGAGGUAAUUAAUCAGUUUUCAAUGUAACAUGGGGCUAAAUUUGCAGAGGCUAGCGAUGCCGAUAGCAUACACUAGGAUCAGAACCUUUACUCCCGGUCGCAGAAUAAGUUUUCAGUUCAGGCUCACUUUUACUCAUCGCUGCAUGGAAAAUAAAAAGAUACACAAUUUAUUUUACUUGGUUAAUGAAUGUGACUAUGAAACUGGAGGUUAAUUUUAGCUCACUUUUUGCCUUGCUCACUUUUCGCUCCAUGCUGUUUGGAGUUGGAGAGGCCUUGCUUCGUAACUGGGCGUCUUCAGCAAGUUUGAGCUGUUGAUGGCCAAAUGGCUGGGAAAAGUUCGCCUCUUAUAGGCCUAUACGGAUUGCGAACCCGUAGAAAUUGCAUGUAACUAGGAUGAUCAUGACAUCUCUCAAAGAAAAAUUGUAUAUUCCACUCUAUUUAGAGAAAUUAAUUGCACUGAUGUAUACAUGCUGGUGGGUGCCAAUGCCAUUGAAUCUUUUAAUUUGACCCAGUUAGAUUUGCAAGGAUUUUCGCAGUCAAGAAAUAUAUACCGCGUACGCAUCCUGGAAAAUACAUAGAAUAGACGAAUAUUUAUUUGAAAAAGUACUAAGACAUUUCCCCCCUUUCAAUAAUGCACCUUAUAUUGUUCAGUUGCGUGACAAACCAAGAGGGGAAUGUACUAUUUUCCCUCACACAUGGAUGUGAUCCUCUUGUCCAUGGUUCAGGAUAACAAAUAUCCACAUAUUUCACAUGAAAAGAAGAUACCUUUCCAAACUGAAGGAAAAUGUACUAUUGGAUUUUCUAGUUUAAGACAGUAGAAACUGCGUUUUCGUUAUUUAGGAAAACCAUGUAUUUCUCAAGGUGUGAACAUAUAUAAUAUCCUGCAAUAGGGGCCUGAUUGUAGCAGAUGCCAUUUCUUGGUUAUAUAUUUUAGUAUAAUUUUAAUCAUUCCACAAAUUUAGGAGCAUGCAAUCAUUAACUGUUACAGAUAACACUAAGAUAUAAUCCAUCGUAUAAUAUGUUUUUAAUCUAAAUGACCGUGGUGACCUACCUAAUGCUCUGAGAUGGGUGUUACGUCACCCACCGGCAGAUCGUAGCCUCCUUUGUACCCACCCACCGACUGAGGGGUAGCUCCUUAAAUAUGAGUACAACGAUAUCCAACCUUUCUUCUUAAACUUGAGAAUUCUAUCAAAAGCACAUGUCAUGGUUUAGAAACACAUAUAGCUAAGAUGUACAUAAAACAUAUAAAUAACUAAUAGAUCCAGUGCAAUGAGGUCGCCCCCCUCAAAGCCUGUUGGAAUGAAACAUGAACUUUUUUUAUUAAUUCUAUGAGAGCUGAAACUGAAUAUAUAUACGAUUUAUUGUAUAUCUACAAAAUAUUUAUUUAGUACUUUCUCCGUCCCAUAAUAUAAGAACGGUUAUAAACACUGCACUAGGUGUCACCUAUUUUAUUAUCGAGUAAAGUAAAUUAUGAAUGUUAGGAUUUUAGGCUUACAACAAAAUGCCUCACACUUUGUCCAAUUUACAUAGUGAGUUUUGAUCUAGUGGGCUAUUUUGUUUGGGAAAAUUUUGGUUUUGUCACUCUAGUUUUUGCCAAAUUUUCUUAUGCCACUCUAGACUUUGAGAUUUUACUUUUGUCAUUCUUAGCUUUUGACAAUUAUCACAAUUGCCAUUCCAUGAAAACGCAAACUAAUUUUAUUUCACUUUUGUCACUCUUAGCUUUUGACAAUGUAUCAGAAUUAUCACUCUAAUUUUUUUGUUUAUGCCACAAAAUAGCAAUUGUGAUAAUUGUCAAAAGCUAAGAGUGGAAAAAUUAAAUGUCAAAAUAUGGGGUGGCAUAAGGAAAAUUAGCAAAAAUAAAAUUUUACCUUUUCUGUUUCAGUACUUUCUCCAACAUGGGCCUGCUUCUCAAAACACAUGGACCUCCCACGUUCAUAACGUCGACGUCCCCAAUGACAAAUUGCAUGAUUGCUUGUCUCCCUAUCCUGCUGCCACCUCCGCUAUGGUAUCCUGCCGAUGCACAUACUGGUAACAUUGUGCACAAUGCCGGUGCAGCAGGGCUUCAAGCAGGCAAAAAUUGCAACCCUAGUCUAGGAUUACAGCCUACUUGGCCGCUCGUCAUGACCACUUCACCAACAUCACCCUCGACGUCUUGUUCUCGGUUUUCGCUACCUAGCUCAUAUGCCUCUCCACAACUUCUACGCAGGCCGGUGACCAAUCCCAUCACCCUCCUCAAAGCUCCAACUCCAGUCCAUGGCAUCUAAUAGAUGCAAACCGUGUCUUGAUCUUUCAAAGAGAAAUACACGUCGAUUUGGAUGGAUUUGACUAUGGCGAUCGGACUAUUACAUGUGACGAAGUUGUGCAUAUGCAAUCACUAAACUAAUUCCACCGUUUUUAUUGACCAGGUAGGAGCAUGAUCAACAAGACCAUGAAGGUUUAAUUUCUAGAAGCAAUUGAAAACUAAAAAGAUAUAAUAUAUAAUCUGGAUAUUGCGAAUAUAGAUAAAAAUUAGGCAUCCUUGCUUGGAUUAGGCAUAAACGAAGUUCAAGAAGUUGCAUCUAUGUUGACUCUUUAAUAAACAGAACUCAUAAAAAAUAAAGCACUAUGGGCGAAAUUUAUGGUCCGACAAAUGGAAAAUUCGGCUAGUCCCUAGGAGCAGGGCCGAAUCUCACCUUACGUCCGGUUUCUUCACUAAUAUAUAGAUGAUAAAAACUGCCUAUGGUCAUGUAUUUCAAAAAUAUAUGGGUCUGCAUCAAAAGCAAAGUGAUGCAAACCCUAGAGAAAUUUCAUUCGAUGGCCGAAUCCAAAUAUUUUUUUAGCAAAUAAUACAUGUUUCAUUAGUCAAAAUGUGAACUCCAAAAAGCCCGCACCCAACUUAAAAAACGUAUGGAUGCAGUACAAAUGUGUAGAAUAUUUAUUUAAAAAUUGACACACUAUAUAUAAACAUUGAACACAGCCUUCUGCUAAUGUCUUUUUUCUUUUUGAAAUUUACUGCAAAUGUCUUGCCACUACCUCGAAAUCCGUAAACUCCCUUUCUAUAUAUUUGCUGCCUUAGAAGACGAGAAGGUGUAUGAUCAGCAGAACGUUCCCUAGAGUGCAAGUGGCCGAGGACUCCAUAAUUAGUUGCAUACAUGUGACUUUUGCUAGUUAUUAUUACCGUUCGUUUUUUCGUUUGUGUAAUGUGACACAACCAAAUCAAUAGAUGUUUUGUCGGACAGUGAACCACCCACUUGACAAACAGUCAAUGGAAUAGAUACCGAUUGCCUCCCUUUCUACUGUAAUCAAGGCAAUGAUAAUAGAUUUCCCCAUCAUUGGCAAUCUUUGUCUCAUUAAUUGAUCUUGGUUGAACUUUCUAACUCGUUUUUGUGGUGAGCUAGCUGUGAUUUCACUCGCUGACUCCUUAUUUCGCGGCUGCGCAUACGUACACACGGAGAUUAUUUUUUUUAAAAUGGAAGCAAAAGUUUUUCCUCAUCCAUUAGAGAAUAGAAGAAAAUCGGACAAAAACAAUUACAAACCGCUGAGCAGCACACACUGGAUAUCCCACACAUACUUUGCGACAAGGGCAUCAUCAAGACAACACGCAGGCGCAGGGGCGGAGACAGGACCCCGAGCUCCCAGGGCCUGGGCCUGGGUAAAGAGGCCCAUCUUCUUUCUUGAGUGUAGCAAAUAUUAACGGCAUGAGACCAAAAUUCAGGAUAUUUUUGAAGGCAGCCCCGGGUUUGCUGUUUGCCUCGCUCCGCCCCUGCGCAGGUGUCAUCAUCAUCACUUCUUCCCUAGUAGGCCUCACCGCCAACCCUAAAACAUUGAGCAAACGGCUCCGACUUCACCAUAGAUGAUCAUAGACCCCACCCACACUGAAGAGGCAAGUGGAGCCACAUGAAGACCCAUGCCAGAACUCAGUCACCCGCGACAAGACAGCGCAACUCCAAUUCUGACCAAGAACUACGAAGGAGAGCUAGACAAGGUUGGCAGCGUGGAUGAUCACUGAACGGACCACCCGUCACCCAUCAUCGUAUACCAUCGGGCCCUACCACAUAAGCUUCGACUUCACUGCAACAAAUAGUCGAGGCAAUCACACAGACACGACGGAGAAGAGCCGACUACCUCAACAGACGCCACAUCUCCGACCUUGCUCACCACCAAUAAUGUUGGUAGUGAAACCUCAAUGCAAACACCGACGCCAUCCACUAUCCCCGCAUGUCUAUGCCCAGCUUCAAAGAUGAAGCCCGCUAGAGGGAAAACGACACCAAGGCGUCGCAAUCGUCCCAUCACCUGGGAUAAGGGCCCCCCCCCCCCGAGCUGCACCGUCGACUAGAUCCAUGCGAGAGGGGUGCAACAACUAAGUAGCAAUGCCUCCAAGAAGCUCAACAACAACUGCAGCCACCUCCAUCGCUACUCACGUCACAAGGCCGAGACAUGGUUCUCACCUGAUUUUUUACAUUAACAAGAGUACGUGAAAACCUAUUAACAAAGGAUCUAGUUCCAAAAAUCUCGACACGAGAAAUCAAAGAGUGAAAAUGAUUCGGUAUUUCGACCCAUGGUUCAAAAGAUGAAACCUUUUGAUAAACGAAUCUACGCAAAAGAAAAACUCCUAGGUUACUAGUGCCCCACUUGUCAGCGCAUGAAAAGUUGGAGAGUGACCUUUGCAAAGGAUAAUUCUUAACUAGUGAUUUCGUUGGUUCAUCGAUUGUAAUUCUCUUACUUUUUUGUCCAUUUUUCCUAUUGUUUAUUUUUUUCGUUUUUAUUUAUAUAUUCAUAUUUUUUGUUUUGGCUUUAUCUUUUGUUCUUUGUGUUCUUUUCUUUCCUUUUUGGUGUUUUCAUUCUUCUUUGGCUUUCGCUUUCAUGAAUAAUCCAUGCAUAAUUUUUAAAACAUAUGCAUACUUUUUCAAAAUACGCAAUCACUUUUCAAAUUAAAUGAAUAUCUGUGCAUUGCAUGGUCAUUUUGAACAUAUGCAUACUUUUUUAAAAUACACAAUCACUUUUCAAAUUAAAUGAAUAUAUGUGCAUUGCAUGGUCAUUUGGAAAAUACAUGAUGAAAAAUUAUGAAUACAUGACAUUGGUUUUGGGAAUUACACUAUACACGUUUUAAAAUGCAUGAUGAACAUUUUUGAAAAGAUAAGAACAACUUUAAAUACACGGACAAUAUUUUAUAUUUCAUACAUUAAAACAUGUUUUAAAUAUAAGAUGGAUAUUUCUGAAUGUAUAAUGGAUAAUUUUAAACCAUGGAAACUAAAUUUUAAUAAAUAAUAAUUAGUUUGAAAUUGUACUAUAAUGUUUUUUAAAUAUAUGCUUUUUAAAUACUAGGUCAAACUUUUAGAAAAUUACGCAUAUAUUCUAAAACAAAUAUUCAACAUUUUUUGCACACAAUAAAUAACCUUUAACACAUGACAAUUUUUGUAAAAUUUUAGAAACAUUUUAAUACAUGAAAAUUUUCUUAUAUUUAGGUAAGUGAAUAUAACUACUCUAUAUAAAAAUGGAAAAUGGAAAAACGCUAGAAAUACUACAUCCUUUUAGAGCUAACAAAACUGUAUAUAGUAUUUUUUAGAGCCAACAAAACUGUACAUACUGUCGUAGAAAAACAGUUCAUAGUGCAGCAUUUUUUUGAGCAAAACUAGCUAGAUUGUGUUGAUCAAUAACAAUGUUUAGAGGAAUGGCAAUUGGAUCAUGAGGAGAUCCCAACCACAUUUGCCUCCCUUGUGGAAGAGAGACACCAAACCUAGCUAGAUUAUGAGUUUCAACAUUAGAAGCUCGAGAUUUGAACGAGAAAUUACAAGUAAUAACAGUUUGUAAAGUUUCUUGUAUCUCUUUGAUAACCUCUCUGUCUUCUCCACCUACACCAUGAUGAAUGCGAUUUACUACCUGUUUGCAGUCUGAUGCCUCAUGAUGAAUGCGAUUUACUACCUGUUUGCAGUCUGAUGCCUCCUGGAUGUGCUGCAUGCCUAGAUCUUGUGCCAAGGCGAGCCCUUCCCUGCAAGCGAGAGCUUCCAAUAUAGCUGGAUUGACAAGCGCCCUUGUAUAACUAGCAACGAAGACACUAGAUAUGUUCCAUCUCGAUAGUGGCAAACAACGAUUGUAGUACCCAUGUUGUAAGCAGUACAUACCCCUGCGUCCAUGUUAAUCUCGACAAAAUCUUCGUUCGGUGCCACCCAUUUCCCGCGCACCAAAUUAGAGACCAUACUUCGAUGGAAGAAAAAACUAGCAAUCAUAUGGCAUGUUGGACCCGCCCACCUAGUUUAGACCGCUGCCAAUAGCUUGCAAGAGGGGAGACAUAGACGUAACCUAUACCUUUGCGCACAUAUAUCUAUAUACUACUCCCUCCUUUCCGGUUUAUAGGGCUCAAAUCUGAAAUCUCAUCAACCAAGGUGAAUUGUAAGUGGAUGGCACUAGUUUAAACUAGCCAAUGAAAUAUUUCUCACAUAUUUAAUUUCCAAGGCAAUAAAUGUACAUCCUUUCUUUCAUUGGACUUGCAUGGUGCAUGUAAAAAACGAUGCAUGCAUAGCCACUCAUCUCCUUUCUCUAAACUCUAUAAAUUAAAUAUGGCGUGAAACUCAAAACACUUUAACUCACUUAGACUCAAAAUGAGCCUAAUAUAACGGCAAUAUGAAAAUUUUAAGAUGAGCCCUAUAAACCGGAAAGGAGGGAGUACUACCUUCGUUCUGGUUUAUUAGUUUCCUCGUAUUUUGGGUUAAAAUUUGACCACAUAUUUAACUAGGAAAUGUUAGUGCAUAUCAUAAAAAUUAUAUAUUAUUGAAUUCUUAUUUGGAUGUCUGUUUCUAAUGAUAUUAUUUUUAUGUAUGACUUAUAUUUGUUAAUUAAAAUCAUGAUUAAAACAUGACCCAAAAUAUGGAGGGGACUAGCUAGUAAACCAGGAUGAAUGUAGUACAUCAUGUUAUAAAACUUUGACCGCCCCAUCUUACACAUAUUUUAUAAUUCAAAAUUUAAACCCUUCCACGCUAUGCAAAUCUCGGUGUAGUACUUAUUAUCGUUUUUUUCCUCGUUUCCAUAAUGUGACAUCAUUGAGUCAUUGCAUGAUUUGUAGCAUAGUGAAUAUUUCAUUUGUGCAUAGCUCAAUCCAUCAAUGGGAUAGAUACUGUCAUAUCGACAUGCAUGCCUCUUUUUUCUACUGAUCGUUGUUUCAUUAAUUGGUCUUGUUGAACUUUCUAACUCAUUUUUGUGGUGAGAUGGCUGUGUUCUCAUUGCGUUGGCUCCUUCAUGAGAAUGUGGAAUCUCCUUUGAGGCAUGUGUAGCUUAGAGGUGUAAAAUUAAAGGCACGCCUACUACACGCAUUUGAUGACGAUGACAUACCCUAUUGGAUUGCUCUUGGCCACCUCAUUCGAUCCAUCUUGGCAUAGCUGGUUUUUGGUGUGUACUCUGGUAUCAGCGUAGGUGUUCGAGUGCCCCGUCGGGUGUCUUGUGAAGUGUGACCUUAUGGCAUGUUGGAUGCUUUGUGUGCUUUAUGCCUAGUCUAUUUAGGCACUGUGCAGGUUUUCGACUGGUUUUCCUCUUAUAAAUCAAGCAGUUUGGGUCAUUGUACCAUAUUUUUCUUCAUAAUGAAUAUUAACAACUCUCCUGUUAUCAUUAAAAAAAUCAAUCGUAACAUCAAGCCAAUACUAGGACGUAGCUCUGUUUAAUAAGAUGCAUAUUUUUAUGCAAUAUUCGACACAUGAAGUUAUGUCAUGCUAUUCCCUAAAAAAUAUUUUAUGUCAUGCUAGUCGCUAAAGUGAACUUUCCACUAUAAUGUGUUCUCCACGCAGAUAUGAUAAAACAGGGUGAAUUAACAGAAGCUUAGAUAGACUUGCACAAUUGCACUAGUAGCAAAUUUUUAGAUAUAGCACUUAUAUGCAACACUUUAAAUAACUAUGGUUGUUAUAGUCCCCACAAAGAAAGUAAAUAACAUUGUUGAGGAAAUCGUUAACCGGUAGUUGUUCUGAUAGAUGCGAAGUUGUCCCUGUCUUUCGAUGAGAUGGUGGCUAUCGUUUUUGGUGGAGUAGACUUUGACGAUCCGACUACGAACGUGCGAAGAUGCCGCGCCUUAGCAAUCGCUAAACCAACUCCGAGAGGUUAUUGACCAUGCCGGAGCACGAUCAACCUGACCAUGAGGGUUUGUUUCCUGCACGCAAACGAAGAACAAGCAAGAAGCUAAAAAUGCAAUCUAGAUAUUGCGAAUAUAAGAGGAAAUCUUUAUUGAUGAAAGUGGAGUUCUGUGACGCCUUGGCCGGUCUUGUCGUAGAACACAAACGAAGGACACAAAGUUACAACUAUGGAGAACUUGUAACUGAAACAAAACACAAGUCUAAAUGGUGCCCAAAGGGCUGUAUAUAUGAGAGAAUAGAGAGGGAUUUUCGUGACCCUUGGAGGAGGAGUCCGAAAAUGACCCUAAACUCGGUUUCCCGACACACACUGACUCUAAAAAUAGCCUAUGUGGUAGUAUUUCGAAAUUACAAGGCCCUGGCCCAAAAAAUAAGGUGACGCAACACCUAUAAUAGCCUCUGGAUGAAAUUUAUGAAGUGACAUCUUGUAUAUUUCAUCCAAGCCUUCAUGCUUUUCUUAUGGUGGCUUCAAAGUCCAAUAAUCACCAGCGGAAGGUCCCUUGUUCUUUCCCGCUUGUGCAUCUUCCCCUUCAUUCUUGAUCCCGCUCCAAUGGCCAUCCUCCUUGUCCAUAUGCCAGGUCCUUCAAUCAUAUGCAAAACAAAAGUAUCUAAUUUAGGCAGCAUCAUAUGUUCAUGAACAUUAGAAGGAUUUUCAAGAAACGAAAGUACCUGAUAAUUCAAUUGACGUGCGCGAGCUCUAGUAACUGGUCCAGUAGGUAUAGCAGGUGUAACAAUGGUAUCAAUGUCCUCAUCAUGUUCGGUUGGUUGGCGACUAGGGAAUUAAUAGGCUAAUCAGCAAGUUAGUCCAAUAAUCAAAUGAUUAAUUAUUUUAUCGGCUAUUCAAUGACCCUACAAGUAUGGAUUAAUCGACAAGUUAACUAAUUAAUUCCAUGAAUUCUUGAACAUGGGUAAAUAAUAUUGUGGUUAUAUGUAGAAAGGUACGAAAGGCCGGAGAACUUUUUUGCAGAUAAUUAAGGAGUUUUAUUUCAUUAUACUGCAUCCAGAACAACCAAAAUUGGCGAAACAAUUAGCCAACCUAUUUUUAAUUGAGGCUACUUUCUAGGACAUAAACUCUCAUUCUCGCAUCAACCUUUUGAUCAAAACAACUAGAUGUCCGUACACCAAGCCAAGGUAUCGUCUCCCAAGGCAAAUAGGGCAACCGAAGAACCAGCAUGAAAGAUAAAUGAGAAUCUAUCCAUUGAAGCGCCAUGUCCAUGCCCUCCGUUAUCAGGUGGAUCUCCACUUCGAGAGCUUCAUUAUCGCUACGAAGUGAAAGCAAUCCUCCAAUCAGAGUUCCAAAGAAUCAUGCCCGACCCCGUGGAGCCAUCUGCUGUGAUGAAAGAGCCACCGACGGAGAGCACGAUAUGGCGCUUGCAUACAUUGUGGAAGGAAUUUCUUGCUGCAUUACUAAGAUAAUUUUUUGUUGUAUAUUCUUCGGUAACUAGCUUGUGUUUACCUUUUUUAUUCAAAUUCAAUAAAUUUAGACAUUUUUUGUGAAAUUUGAAAUACCUUUGAAUGAUUCCAAGUUGUAUUAGUAGGUGUGGCAUUACUCUUAAGAAAGUGAGAUCCAUACCCACUUGCGCAGUCUAGACCCAUCUUUAGAGGAGAAACUGAUGGUCCAAUUACUCAUUUCCACCUGCAUUUGUUUGCCGCCAUCCGUUUCUUGCAGGGAAGGAGAUCAUGGGGGGAGAGAAGCCGAACAAUAAGAGGUAGUAGAGCAGACCUGAUUCUAAGGCUGUCUAACAACGUGCCAUGUUCCAGGUGGGCUUUUCUUUAGGGCAUAUAUUAGCAUAUGUGCCAAUUGGCUGGCAACUUAUAUCUAUAGCAGGCCACAUGCCUAUAUCCCAUGGGCCACGCAUGAAUGGAACAUGCACUAGUAGCGGUUAGUGGAACGGAGAGAUGCCCGAGGGGAAGCACCAGAAGCCAAAGAAUUAGGUAAUGGGCACAGCUAUUUACUGAGGAGACGAAGUGAACUUAUGCAGAACAUAGGCAUAGAGUUAUAUUACGUGGUCAGCGAUUGACCCCAUACAGAUUGGAACCUGACGAGUUGUUUGAUUUCUGUUGAGGUGAAGGCUGCAAGUUGAAUGAACGCCGACGUGACAUCAUGAUGAUUGUAAACAGUCUGCAUGUAGAGAGAAUUGCUAGUAGUGGUGAUCAACUUCUUAAAAAUGUAGGAUUUAGUGUAAACUGCAUGGAAAUAUUACUAGAAAAUGGUACAAAAUAAACUGUACUUAUCAGUCUGAAUAUCCACUCGAGGUGUGAAUGUAAUAUCCCACAAGAGUCUGUUCGUGUGUAAUUUCCUAGGUCUUUCCGCUUAAAUCGGCACAAGUCUUUUGAGGUUUUCCCCCGUAAAGUCUCUUGAGAGUUAAUGUAAUAGCUCUCUAGCUAGCUAAUAAGUCUUGAUAUUCUACAUAAACAGCUACUGGUAUGCAGAUGGUAUACCUGUUAUGGCGGAUUUUUUCUUGAUUUGACUAGCCGAUGUGUAUAUAUAUGGUAGAUUUUUCCUUGAUCGUUCCAAGUUGGAGUAAAAUUUAAGUUCUGAAAGCAUCAAGUCAAGUCAUUUACAUGUAGAAUUUGGACGAUAUACACUUCCUGAUAAUUGAUUGGGCUAUUCGCUAAUUAACUAGUACAAAAUAAUCUUGGUAUUUCGUUCUGAGAAGAAAUGGACAAAUUAAUUCCCAACUGUUUCAACAAUGAAUACCUUUUUCUCGCAAUAGUCAUGGACAACCCAUUACAAUAACUAGAGGAUACCCCACGCGUUGCCGCCGGAAUUGGUUGAUGAAAUUCAGGGUUGAUAAUAUGAAAACUAAAAUUUAAAAUACAUAUUACUUACUACAUUUGAUUAUGUAUGGUUUUAAUAAUAUAUUUAAUAAAUAUAAGUAGAAUAACUAAGUGAGAAGGUAUUUUUCAUACAUGGUUGAAUGUUUAGGUUGGCUACAUUCAGAUUUUUCGCAUGUGUUGGUGCAAAAUUCAAACAUUGUUUUAACUUGCAAGUAAUGCUUUGUUAUAAAAAAAAUGCUUUUUAAGAUCAGACUAGUCGUACAAAAUCAUACCAAAGGUGUUGUAUGCAUCCUUCUUAAUGUACUACUGAUAUGAAUUUCUACCAGAACUUAGUGUGCGUCUCUCUAUUGUGGCCGGGUACAAUUCGGAUAUUGUUCGGUCGUGCUGACGGGAAGUGACAUGUCAAUUAUUUUUUCCAUUACAACACACGGUCAUAUUUGCUAAUUAAAUGCUAACAAAAAAAACAUGUUAGUUAAGCUAGAUUAUGAUAAUACACGCAUGACCAAACACAUCCUCAAACACGACGGCGAAAAGUAUGUUCAGCUGCACAUUUGCUAGUAUGCGGGUCGUCCAUGACUAUAUACAUGUUACUUUUGCUACUUAUUACGGUCCGUUUUCUUCACUCAAUAAUGUGACAUGACCGAGUCUGUGCAUGACAGUGUGAAUUUUCCGUUAUUACAUGGUCAAUGGAAUAGAACAUAUGUGCAUGGCUGUUCUUAUACGGCAAUCAAAACAGUAAUAAGAUAGUUCUACUACUGAGUCACAACGUCCUUGCUUCCGGUAUAAUUAAAGAAGUGACGACAACGUCAGUUCCCAACGGUCAUGCCACGUGGCUUUUUUUUGUCGAGAGUACCUCUCGGCGUAUGCUCCGUUUGUCGUUCGGUGCGUGUUCGCUAUGAACCAUGCACUGCUGGCAAAGGGACGUUGUUGUCGUGAACCAGCGUUUGUCAAGGGUAGCUUUCGGCAUAUAUUUGUUUGUCGAGAGCGAGAGCCAAACAGCCGGCGUAUAUGAAAAGUCCAGUAGUGAGUAGUGGUGAUCAACUUUUUAAAAACGUUGGAUUAGUGAAAACUGCAUGAAAAUAUUACUAGAAAAUGGUACAGAACAAACUGUACUUAUCAGUCUGAAUAUUCACUCGAGGUGUGCAUGUAUGGCCUGUUUGGUCUCAACCAUACUUUAUCAAGUCAAAAUUUAACAGCCAUAGCUUAGUUGGCAUGUGUUUGAUUUUUGCAAUACUUUAUUGUCUCUAUGGCCCAUUUGACAUAGAGUUAAAAUUUCUUGCCAACUUUUAUCAAAGUUUGGCGUUCGUUUUUUCAGCCACUCUUUGUGGCUUGGCACACUUUGAUGGCUUGUCAACUUUGGCUUGACAAAAUUAGUCUUCAACCAAACAGGCUCGUAAUAUCCCACAAGGGUCUGAUAGUGUGUAAUUUCCUAGAUCUUUCCACUUCAAUCUGCACAAGUCUUUGAGGGUUUUCCCCCGUAAAGUCUCUUGAGAGUUAAUGUAAUAGCUCUCUAGCUAGCUACUAGGCCUUGAUAUUCUACAUAAACAGCUACUGGUAUGCAGAUGGUAUACCUGUCAUGGCGGAUUAUUUCGUGAUUUGACUAGCCGAUGUGUAUAUAUAUGGUAGAUUAUUCCUUGAUCGUUCCAAGUUGGAGUAAAAUUUAAUUUCUGAAAGCAUCAAGUCAAGUCAUUUACAUGUAGAAUUUGGAGGAUAUACAUUUCCUGACAAUUGAUUGGGCUAUUCGCUAAUUAACGAGUACAAAAUAAUCUUGGCCAAACGCAUCCUUAAGCACGACGGCGAAAAGUAUGUUCAGCUGCACAUUAGCUAGUAUGCGGGUGGUCCAUGACUAUAUACAUGUUACUUUUGCUACUUAUUACGGUCCGUUUUCUCCAUUCAAUAAUGUGACAUGAUCGGGUCGAUCAUCGCAUGACAGUGUGAAUCAUCCGUUAUUCCGUGGUCAAUGGAAUAGGACAUAUGUGCAUGGCUGUUCUUAUACGGCAAUCAAGACAACAAUAAGAUAGUUCUAUUACUGAGAAUCUUCAUUUCAUUGAUUGAUCUUGGUUGAACUUUUCUAACGAAUUUUUGUGGUUCAUCAUGCCAGUUCGCUACUCAGUGGCUGUUAAUACACGCAGACAAAUGGAUACUCUCUAGUCUCCAACUGUACGUGCGAACAUGGAAUUUCGUCUUACAGACAUCUAUACUUUGCCGUGGGUUACUUGUUGGCUUUUGAACAACUCUAGAUCAACUCACCAGAGAGCAGCGGCACACGCUAGUUCAAAGCUAGCAAGCUGAUAGGCUAAUAGCUGGAUGGAUCCUUUCACUACGUAGGAUUAGUACAUGCAUAGACGUACGUAGCAGCACGCCGGCACGCCUCCGGCAAGACGCACGCACACGAGAACACGAGCACACGCGAUUGGAUUGCCGUAGGCACGAUGUCUCGUGCCUGUUAAACUUUGUAUUGCUUUUCUUUUUUUGGUGUUACAAGCACCACCCCUAAGGUGCUUUUUAUACACAUCCAUAAGGGACUAUGAAAAUAGACUAGGAUAUCCAAAUACUAUUAGGACUCGAUUUAGCUUUUUUCCUAAUCCUAUGCGUACAGGGCAACGUGAUUAACUCACAUUCAUCCCCUAAUCACGAUGUCCUUAUUUAUGACCUGGGUCCCAAACACGAUUGUUGCUUCUCAUAACUGUUAUCAUCGGUAUGGCCUUUGCCGUCCCUUGCAGCAUUUCAUGGACUAUCUUUACUAUCGUCGGCUCGUCCGUAGCUUUAUGACAACACUCCUUUUUAGUCGUGUCUUCAAUCUUUACCUCUUCUUCGGUGCUUUGUAGACUGUCCUUCGGAUCAUCGAUGGCACAUCUUUUGAACCUGAGCGUGACCAUACUUUGGUCUAACUUUGAAUUCCAAGCUCUUGGCGCUUGCAUCAGCCCGUAAAGUGCCUUCUUGAGCUUGUCAACUUCCGUUUGUUCGUUUUUCUUCUCGUACCUGAGGGGUUGUUCUACAUACACUUCUUCUGUGAGAUCGCCGUUGAGGAAAGCGGAUUUAACAUCCAUAUGAUGAACCUUCCAAUCCUCUUGUGCUGCCAAAGCUAGGAGCACUCUCACCGUCUCGAGUCGAGCAACCGAUGCAAACACCUCAUCAUAGUCAACUCCUUGACGUUGUACAUACCCCUUUGCAACGAGUCUUGCCUUGUACUUCACAAUGGCACCCUUCGUGUCCUUCUUUAACUUGUAAACUCACUUCAAACCUAUCGCGUUUUGGUUUGGAGGUCGGGUUACCAAAGUCUGCGUGCCAUUGCUCUCAAUCGCCUUCAUCUCCUCAUCCAUGACGUGCGUCCAGCUAGGACUUUUGCUCGCCUCUACGAAGUUCGUCGGCUCCUCAACUACGAACAGACAUAGUACGGAGUACUCGAGCGUAACUGGCUUUGUGUACUUGUAGACUUUCUUGAGGGUCUUGUAGCGACGAGGCCCUGAGGAGUCCGUUGUGGCUUGCGAAGGAGGCGACACAAAUUGUGUCUGUGUUGAUGCACUUGAGGAAGACGGCUGAGUCCCAGGUGUGUCAUCGUUAUCCGUGUCGUUGGCGUAGUUGGCAGGACCGUGACCAUCAUCUUGAUUGUCGUCGUUACUAUGCGCCUCAUUGUCGAUGUUGUCGUCAAGAUCUCCGCAUGUGCCGUGCUCGUCGUUGUCACUAUCUCCUUACGACCUAUGCACGUCGUCGUCGGUGUCGGCACCAUGAUGAUCACUACCAUUGUGGUCACCUUGGUUGGGCGUCUUACCAACCACCUGGACAUCCUCCCCUGCAUCAUCAUCAGUUGGAAAUUCAACCGUGAAUAUGUUACUGUUUGGAGCAUCGUCGGUUGCGGCGCUCCAAUUCCACGCUUGGUUUUCUUCAAACACAACGUCGCGUGAAAUCCAUAGACGCUUGGUUUGUGGAUCGUAGAAGCGGUAUGCCUUGGUGCCGGAACUCCUCUCGUAUCCGAUGAACACCAUCUUGGUGCUACGAUCGGCAAGCUCUGAGAGGUGUGGCUUCGCCGUCUUCACAUGUGCCACGCACCCGAACGUCCGUAGAUGAGACACAUUCGGCUUACGUCCGUAAAUUGCUUCAUACGGAUUCUUGCCGAUCACCGCCUUCGUUGGAGCCCGAUUGAGAAGAUAGACUGCCGUCGAGACAACUUCUCCCCAAAAGGUCCCCGCCAGGUUCUUGCUCUUGAGUAAACUCCUUGCCAUGUCAACGACGGUUCGAUUGCGCCUUUCAAUGACCCCGUUAUGUUGUGGCGUAUAAGGUGCCGUGAGGAACCUUUUUAUGCCAACCUUCUCGCAGUAGUCGUUGAACUCGUUCGACGUAAACUCUCCGCCACGAUGUGUCCGUAGAGCGCGAACCUUCAACUUGUGUUCCAUCUCCGUUGCAGCCUUCAGCUUCUUGAACACUUCAAACGCCUCAUCUUUAGAUCGUAGGAGAAUGACCCAAAUAUAUCUCGAGUAGUCAUCUACCACAAGGAAGAAGUACUUCUUUCCUCCCUGAGUUGCCGGGGUGAUAGGGCCACAUAGAUCACCAUGGAGCAGCUCGAGUGCAUCACUUGCACGAUAGGUAGACUCAGCAGGGAACGACAUGCGGUGUUGUUUUCCAACCAAGCACCCGUCACGUACUCGAUCAACAUGGUCGCUAACUGGCAUCCCGGAUACCAUCUCCAUCUUUGACAUCUUCUUCAAGGCAUAGAAGUUAACAUGUCCAAAUCUAGCAUGCCAUAACCAUGAAUCAUCAUCACUCUUGGCGAGCCAACACUCCGGUUGAGAUUGAUCAAGGUUGAGGAUAUAGAGCCUGUUCUGUGUGCGAGUAACACGAGCUAGCACGUUUCGGAGGUUGUCGAAGAUCGUCAUCACUCCGUUCUCGAUAUGCACCUUGCAUCCAUUCUCGUCAAGCUUCCCAAUAGAGAUGAUGUUGUUGCGAAGCCGUGGGAUGUAGUACACUCCGGUGAGUAUGCGAUGUUCGUCUGUGAGACCCUGGAAGAGGACAGAUCCUUGCCCACAAUUCUCCACAUUUGAACCAUCACCAAACUUUACCAAGCCUUCAACAUCAUAUUCCAGCUCGAGAAAUUUCUCCUUGCAUCCCGUCAUGUGGUUACUGGCACCCGUGUCGAGAUACCACGACGCAUUGUGAUCCCCGGAUAACUUAGGUGUCACAUUCUUCUCAUGAAGUAGCACCUUCCGGCUUGGUUUCACACCCACCGUUUCAGCGAGAUCACAAACUUCGGCCAUCAGAAGACCUGGACCUUCGUCUUCCUGCUUUGCCAAAUUUUCCUUGAUCUCCCGCUUGUCAGGCUCCGGACAAUCCUUUCCAGGCGUCCGAUCGCCUCCGUUAUGGUCAUGCCGUCUAUGUCGUAAAGCUGCUCGAGCGUGCCGAUGAUGUACGUGAAUUUGUCAGUCACCGAACUGAAAAUUUUCUCCACAAUCUCGGUCUCCUCGAGAUUUGCACCAAGUGCGCGGAUCUCUCCCACCAAAGUAGUAAGACGCAUGGCGUAGUCGUUCACCGAUUCAGUUUCCUCCAUCUGCAACUUGUGAAAUUGGCGCUUCAGCACUUGUGCCCGAGCCUUGGUGACGCGAUCUUCUCCGAUCCUCAUCUCCUUGAGUGCGUUCCACGCCUCUCAUGCCGUCUUGAACUCCGCCAAUGUCAUUAGCACGGAAUCCGGGACGGACCGGGCUAUGGCGGCCGUGGCACCUUCGUCGGACUCGUCAUCGACGUCGUCGUCCGUGAUUGCCUGCCACACUCGAAGGGUUCGGAGAAUAACAUUCAUCUUCACCGCCCACACGCCAUAGUUGGCGUCGGUGAGCAUCGGGUACUGGAUGGGGAUGUUGCGAUGUGCCUGGAUGUUGGCGCCGCUCGUUCCUCCACCACUCGUUCCUGACUUGCCAUCUUUCUUCACCUUGUCGCCGUUCUUGUUCGUCUUGGGACCGCCUUUGCCGGACUUGACCGACUCAGCGUCGCUGUCCGUCAUCGUAGAUGGUAGAUCGUCUCGUGCCUGUUAAACUUUGUAUUGCUUUUCUUUUUCUUGGUGUUACAAGCAUCACCCCUAAGGUGCUUUUUAUACACAUCCACAAGGGACUAUGGAAAUAGACUAGGACUAGGUAUUCUAAUACUAAUAGGACUCGGUUUGGCUUUUUUCCUAAUCCUAUGUGUACAGGGCAACAUGAUUAACUCACAUUACUUCCCUUCCACCUGUGCUAGAUCACCGCACAACUGUAGCUUGUUCACUCUUUCAUGGUGUUGCUAUUUUUCUUUGGUUUUGCUCCGUUAGCUCUUGAUAAUAGAAUCCGAUCCAUUUUUUUUGGAUCAAAUGGGGAAAAAAGAAGGAAAAACAAAACUCAUAUUCUCUCUUGCGGCCAGCGAGUUGCCACUACAAGGAUCCUUUCCAACUGAAUUCAUGCAUAAUUACAUGAACCCAUUUGGAGUCAGAAUUGGACCUGGCGGUUAUAUAUAGCUGGAUGUGGAGCUCACUGCCAUGCAACUUGCAACAUAUAGUACUCCCUCUGUUUCUAAAUAUAAGUCUUUUUAGAGAUUUCACUAUAAACUACAUAUGGAUGUAUAUAAACAUAUUUUAAAGUAUAGAUUCUUUCAUUUUGCUCUGUAUGUAGUCCAUAGUAAAAUCUUUACAAAGAUUUAUAUUUAGGGACCGAGGGAGUGCCAAACAGAAACGGAGCACGUAUGGUGUAAUUAUGCAUAAACAGACCAUGAAAAGUUGCUAUAGAUACAUAACUGUGAACUAGCAAAAAAAAUGCAUGAUAACACAUGUUUCAUUCAUCUAAGAAAGGACAAGGUACAAGUCACAUAAACAUGGCUUGACAAAACUGAAAAGAUAGCAGAACGCUAAUCUUUGCAUAAGGACCGCCGGUCAAGAAAGAAAACUAAAAUUAAAAUUGAUGAAUCCCCUCGGCAUGACUUUAAUUUCGUUGCAUGCCUUCGGCACCGCUGCAACAACCAUAAAAAACAUGCGACGAAUCACCUCUUCUCCCUAGGUUCAUGCAGCUUCGUCACUAAUACGUAGUUUUGCGGACCUUCAAACUAGAUUCUCAAAGAAAAAGCCAUUGUCGUUAAAAUAAUCAAGUGGGGCAGCACCCUGAUCGAAUACACCAUCAAACUAGAUAUCUGACACCCCCGCAUGACUAAGAUAUCAGAAUAGGAAAUCAUAUAAGCGAGCCACCAACCAAAAAUCCAGCACAGUACGAUCAGUCUUCUAGAUGUUGUCGAUCCAUACAACUAUCUGCAUCCGUUCCUAGACUAGCACCCAAGCUUUGCGCUGGCGGUGGAGCGAACAUCGUCGCAAUACCGGAGCCCGAGGUUACAAGUCCGCCACAAGGAUGUUGCCGUCACCGUGACAUCGCCGCUUGAACAAACUAGUUAGCAAAUCCAUCAAUGUCAUUGGAGCCGAUCGUCUCAUCGAGGAAGGAUUUGGAGCUUCUUCAUUCAGCCCCGACAUCACUAUCGUCGAAGCUAAGGCAUCGAAUGACCCAAAACCUCAACUACUAGUAGGCCCCGAACCUAAAAUUACAUGAUUUGCACAUGUCGAGCCCUGAAGAGGAGCCGCCGGAAGGCUAGACUGUCCUGAUGGCGGCUAUGGUUUCCAGUCGUCACUCACAAGAGCAAAACACUUCAUAAAUUUUCUGAUAAUGUGAAAUAGAAAAUGCUCAGUUACACUUUGCACAUGUUUAGCAUACUAACAUCGCACUAUACUGUUUGCAGUAUGACAGAACUACGUCCAGGUCAGUAACUGACUUGGAGGCAUAGGCUUGGUCGUUGGCACGUAUGCUCUGGCCAGUGGGCUCCAUAGGUUAGAGUCAUUGUGACCUGAGAUGAACCAAACAAUUUGGGCGGGUUGCAACCACCACUAGUGGGGACGGGGCCUUUAGCCCCGGCCCGUAAGGGGCUUUAGUCCCGGUUCAUCAACCGGGACUAAAGGGGCGGGACUAAAGGCCUAACCUUUAGUCCCGGCCCUGUUACAAGCCUGGACUAAAUGUGCUCCACGUGGGCGCCUCGUAGCGCCCCAGGGGCAGGCCCUUUAGUCCCGGUUCGUUACACGGACCGGGACUAAAGAUUUUCAGAUUUUGCUUAUUUUUGGGUUUUUUGAAUGAAAUUAUUUUUGGGUUUUAGGGUUUAGGUGUUCGGGAGAUUAACGUGAUGCCUCGUUUGGUGUUCGGGAAUUAGUUUUCAUAUAAUUUAAAUAGAAAUAAUUAUGCAUAUAUAUAAGAUUAACUUAUCUUACAAGCAAGCAUAUAUAUACAAUUAUCUGGAGAUCUGAAUUACCGGGACUAGAGCCCGUCUAUUCGAUUACAUGGACGAACAUCAGUAAUGGCCCCUAGCUACACUAAAUCGUCCUUUAUCAUCUAUAGCUUCCGUCCUCAGAAAGGUCGCAAGCUCCUCUGCAACAGCAAUCGCGCGUUGGUCUGGUAGGACCUUCGUCCUCAUGGCCGUGUACUAUAUAAGAAGAGGAGACGAAUAUGAAUAUCAAUCAUGAUAACAAAGAAUGACGGGAAAAAAUAGAGGUGUGAAUGUUCAUUGCUUACGUCGAAUCUGUGAUCCUUGUGCUCAGAGGUAAACGUGCGAAUGGUCUCGCAAACAUAGUAUCCGCAUAGAUGCGUCCCCCGUGGCUGCUGGUCGCACUUUACGAGAAUAGAAUAUAUAUAAUCAAAAUAAUAAUCUAGCAUUAUAAAUGUAUUGAAAAUAGAAGUAUAUCAUACUAUUACUUACCUGAGCCGCUCUAAAGGUCAGCUUCUCAGGCUCGAUACCGGGAGUCACGCACUUGAACCGCUUCCAAACCUUGCCCGACAAGGAUGAUGAUUUGCUAAGUUUUUCAUUAAUUGAUAUAUCAGAAAAUCAUCGAAAGAGACCGAUAGAGCGCAAGGAUGAUUGAAAUUACCCUUGAAGCAUGUCCUGCAGGCUUUGAACUGUUCCAAGGGUCUCGAUAAUGGGUCGAAGGCAUCAACUCUUCCCUUAUCAAUUUGAAUGUCCAACAGAAUCCAAUGGAAGCUGCACAUGUAUAUAUAUAUAUAUAUAUAUAUAUAUAUAUAUAUAUAUAUAUAUAUAUAUAUAUAUAUAUAUAUAUAUAUAUAUAUGUCAGUAACUUAUCAAUUACACUUAUAAGUGAAUGGACACAACAGAGUAAAGACCCUCACCUGAAGUUGUAUGGAAACCGUAUGUGGUCACGGAAAUUUUGAUCUGUUAGAAACCUUAGAAGGUUUUCCUCCGUCUCCUUGGGUUUAUCAGUUAGCGUCGCUAUAUGUAUUUUAUCUGGGUCAAUAAACCCAAUAUUUAGGAUGUUCUUACUUUUACAAUCCAGAAUCUUCAUUCUGCAUAAUAGAGUACAAUUUAUAUAUAGACAAUGAAUUGAAAUAACUAAACAAGUUAUAUGUAGACAACGAAUUGAAAAACUUACAGACAAUAGCAACUCAUAAGCGAUUUGUCGAGGGCGUCGUCAUUGUACAUCUGGAAGGGUUCAUCAAAGUCGAUAUGAAUUUCUUCGGGGCGGCCGUAGUACUCCUGUGGACGGGAACAUCUCCUCCCACUGAAAGCACUUCGCCGGAAUACCUGGAAUAAAUCCAGAAAAAUGCGAGCACCAACGUCAAGUCUGAGACUUGAACUCUGGUGGACAGGGGAUACCACAGUCCUCCUAACCAUCCAACCACGGGUUGGUUUGCACAUCCAACCUUUCUUAAACUCGAGAAUUCUACGAAAAGCAAGUGUGAGGGUUUAGAUACACAUAUGGCUAAGACAUAAAACAUAUAAAGAACUUAGAGGGUGCUUGGAUCCAAGAGACUAAAACUAGGCUGACUAAAACUAGUCUCUUUUAAGAGGCUAAAGUUCCAAGCACCCCUGACUAAAGAGAGGCUAAAACUAGUCUUGAGGCUAAAAUCUUUUAGUCAGGGGUACCCCUACUAAAAUGUGCAUUAGUCCUCUCUCUCCUCAUUUAACUCCUCAUGCAAGUUCUGGAUUGGAGGGUUUGGAGGAUAAUACAUGCUCAUUAACUUGAUUCUAGUCUCUUUAGUACUUGGAUCCAAGCAUGGGUGAGGCUAGCAAGUUUUAGUCUCACUACUUUUAGUCAUGGGACUAAAACGUAUCCAAUCACCCUCUUAUAGAGUAGACGUGAUAGUGUCCAGUGCAAUGAGGUCCACCCCCCCCCCCACCACUCCCCAAACCCAAAGCUUGUUGGAAUCAAACAUGAACUUUUUUCUAUUAAUUAUGUGAGGACUGAAACUAUAUGUAUCUGUAACAUAUAUUUAUUUAAUACAAAUAAAAUAAUAGAGUGAAAAUGACUAAGAAUUUUUCAAUGCAUGCUUGCAUAUUUAGGUGGCAUGUUUAGAUGUUUAAAAAUAUAUCAAUGAGGAGCACCUUUUGUUAUCAAGUAAAGUAAAUUAUCAAUGGUAAGGAUUAAGGAUUACAGCCGAACGGCUCCCACAUUGUCCAAUUUGGAUCGUUGGUUCCAAUCUAGUGGUUUUUUUUCUUCACUACUUUUUCCAACACCGGCCUGCUUCUCAAAACGCAUGGACCUGGCGCGUCCACAUCGUCGAGGUUGUGCAUAUAUGCAAUCACUAAGCUAAUUCCACAGUUUUAUUGACCGGGCCAGCGCAUGAUCAACAAGGCCAUGAAGGUCUCAUAUCUCGAAGCAAUUGAAAAAUAAGAAAAACUAUAGUAUGUAAUCUGGGUAUUGCGAGUACAGAUAAAAAUUAUGCUUCCGUAAGCACACUUUGUUUGGUUUAGGCAUGAACGAAGUACACAAGAUUGCAGCUAUAUGUUGACUCUUCAAUAAACGAAACCCGUAAAAAAUAAAGCCCUAUGGACGAUUUUUGUGGUGCUACAAAGAGAAAAUUUGGCUAGUCCUAGGAGCAGUGCCGAAUCACACCUUAGGCUGGGUUUCUUCACUAAUAUAAACGCAAAAACUGCCUAUGAUCAUGUAUUUAAAAAAUAUAUAGGUCUGCAUAAAAAGUAAGGUCAUGCAACACCUAUAGAAACUUCAUUUGAUGAAGAAUCUAAAUAUAUAUUUUUGAGCUUAUAAUAUAUGUUAGAUUAGUCAAAAUGGACACCUAAAAGCCCUCGCCCAACUUAAAAAAAAUGGAUGGAAGCAUUACAAAUGCGUAAAAUCUUUUAAAAAAAUUGACGCACCAUAUACAAAAAUUGAACAUAGUCUACUGCUAAUGCCUUGCCACUACCUCUAAAUCCAUAAACUCCCUUUCUAUAUAUUUGCUGCCUUAGAGUGCGAGUCAAUAGAUGUUUUGUCGACAGUGAACCAUCCACUUGACUAUCAGUCAAUGGAAUAGAUACUGGUAUGCCUGCCUAUUUUUCUAGUGUAAUCAAGGCAGCGGUAAUAGAUUUUCAUUGGCAAUCUUUGUCCCAUUAAUUGAUCUCGGUUGAACUUUCUAACUCGUUUUUGUGGUGAGCUUGCUGUGAUUUCACCCGCUGACUCCUUACUUCGCGGCUGUGCAAACGUACACACGGACAAAGAGAUAUUCAUUCCACUUGGACGUGAGAAUAGGUUUUCUUAGUGUCCUCUGUAGGUUAGCAGCGUAAAACCAACCAUUGGCGACAACGAACUACUUGGCCGAGCCGCUGUUGUCCACUGGAGCUCGACCUCGGCACGCCUGCACGCGUAUAUGGCACAGCAGGUGUUGCUCUUAUUCUGGCCAGCGUGCACCAGCAGCCCGCGAGUUGCCCUUAAUUACGGGAGCGGUUCUAACUGCACUAGCCAGUACGAGCAAAUAUUACAUGUACAAUCCGACUAUGGAUAGGAUACAAACAUUUCCAUCAUGCUACUGUAAAUAUGGAAGUGAAAUUUCAACCAUAAUGUGUUUUUGACCGUAGUCAUGCAGAUGUCAUGAUGGGAAGUUGGGCUUCUAGGAGGGGUUUUCUUGGCGGCUUCGGUCCUAGUGAUCGAGGGCACCAUUGAUCCUAGUUGUGCAGAAUCUUUCGCUUAUUGGUAAUCGUUGCGUCUAGCUCCGGAUCUUAAUUAACCUGUGGAAGGCAGUGGUUGCAUAGGACUGCUUGGAGGUUGUUAGAGCUACUAAUAAAGGAAGUAGAGGAGGAGGACAUGGAGUUUUUGAUCCGAGCUCACAUGCAACCUGAUAACUGGUCAAAUUAAAGAUAGUUUUUUCUUUAUAAAAAAUAAGAGUUUUUAAUGAACUUUGAUGAAUUCUUCACCCACAUACAAAAUUUCAUGAUGAAAUGACAUUUCAGGGAGGUCUGGUCCAAAAAAAAAAAUCGAUGCUCUCAAAAUACUAUGUUAGAACUUAGAAGCCUUUUGAAGCACCGAUUCAGGUUGUUUUCGCCCAGGCCGCCAUAAAUGUCAUUUUAUCACAAAAUUAUAUUCGCAGUUGAAAUAUUCGUCAAUGUUUAUCACAAAGUAUACAUUCCGUUUCUUUUGCUAUUCACAAGGGAGCAUGUGUGCAAAUGUGAUGAUCAGCAAGGAGAUUAGGAGUAUGAGCAGGAGCUAGGAGAUAUAGUCUUUUGUUAUCAAAAGGAGAGGAUAAUCUAGAUACCCAUAAUAUUGCUAGAAUAUUUUUUUAUUAGUCCCGGGCUGCCACGUCCAGGGUUUGGAUACCCCAGGAUAUGUUUUUUUAUUAUGGAUGAAUAAAUGAGCUAGGGUGUUUAUCGGAAAGAAGAUACAAAAAUUAGAGCUUAUAUACUAGCCUAUGUAGAACUUUAAGGGGGCAAAAAAAUAUUACACUUAUUUUGUUAGUUAAAUAAAGACUUAAAAGUAUAUCAGAUGGAGCUGAGUACCUAUAUUAUAUUUUUUCCAUUUCAAUAAUGCAACAUGAUCAUCAAUGCAUGUGUUUGCAGGAAAUGAAUCUUCCAUUUAUGCAUUGGUCAAUGGAAUAGAUACUGUCUUACUGAUAUGCAUGCCUGUUUUUUACUGCAACCAAGGCAACAUUAAUAUUACUCUAUCACCGGAAAUCUUUGAUUCAUUAAUUGAUCCUGGUUCAACUUUCUAACUCGUUUCUGUGGUGAGUCAUGUUCUCACUCGUUGGCUGCUUAAUUCGUGAGAAUAUGGAAUUUUCUUAGCCGUGUGUAGCUUAGCGAUGUAAAAGGCAUGUCUACUGCAAGCAUUUGACUACGAUGACAUAUUUGGCCGGGCCGCUCCCCAUCUCGUAAUGGGUGCCCGCUUGUUUCAAUCCAUCGUGGGAUCAACCAAUGCAACUAUACAAAAACCGGACUAUGCGUAGUGAGAUGCAUAUUUGCAUGCUAUAUCGGACACAUGAAGUCCCACUAGUUAUUUUUCCCAACGACAAAAAUGUUGAUAAAUUAAAUAAUUUUCCAUGAAAGCAUGCUCAGUCCGUUUGAGGUCGCAAUGUGAUAGAUUACUUGUUAUCUGAAGCAGAGUUCAAUUUUUUUCCGGGAGAAAAUAGAGUUUAUCAAUGAUCCAGAUUGACACCACUCAAGAUAAAAAUAACUGGUUUGUGAAAAAGAGAUAAAAUUCACUCCAUGGCAAAAAAGAAGUUAAAACUCAAUACAAUCCAAAUCUAUUAAUACAUGUGAAUUCAAUACAAUACCAAUACAUGAACUUAGGACAGUGACGAAAUCCAUCAAGGACGUACAAACUACAAACAUGCAAUAGAUCGAUCCAUAUUUCUUUUCCACCUCUUUAUUAACCUCUUACAUACUAUUAGAGUCUUGUAUAUGUAUUAUAUCAUAGACAAAGCACACGAAAUGAUGUCCAGAUCAUUCUUCUUCUUCAUCAGUCCACACGAGAGGUUUAAAUUGUAUAUGUAAAUCCAGAAUUCACGGCUUUGUAGCAUUGCUGCCUAACAAAUUAAAAUUUCAGUGUCAGGUUUCUGCGGAGCCACGCACACAAUAUAUAUGCAGAUGAACAAUUAUAGUUCAUAUACCUGGGUUGGCUGGCUUUGCAUGUUUGUUGUUUGCUGCAGGCGUCGGCAGUGAGGCAGUACUUGGCGCUUUAGCUUCAGAUUCUGCACACAUGCGAAACCACAAGAGAUCUAUAAAUUUGGAGAACCCGUUGAUUAUUGAGAUAUCUUGAUUAUUUGGUCAUGUAAAGAAAAUGUGCGGCUUUGGGAGUCAGGGAAAGAAAGCUAGUUCAAAAAGGUGCCCGACGUUGACGAUGUUGCACACGAUCAUCGAGUACGUGUAGCUCUUGCUUCGAGACUAAUAGCAAGCUCGAGUGCUGGGACUACUAACCAGAAGAAGAUGCCGCUGGCUGCACAUGUGGGUUUCCUGCACGGUAAUAUCAAUCAGUCAAACAGUAGUUGCACACGGAUAUGAGUUAAUUAAUCAGUUUUCAAUGGAACAUGGGGCUAAAAUUGCAGAGGCUAGCGAUGCUGAUAGCAUACACCAGGAUCAGGACCUUUAUUCCCGGUCGCAGAAUAAGUUUUCAGUUCAGGCACACCUUCACUCAUCGCUGCAUGGCAAAUAAAAAGAUACACAAUUUAUUUUACUUGUUAAUGAAUGUGAGUAUGAAACUGGAGGUUAAUUAGCUUACUUUUCGCCUGUGGAUCCAUGUUAUUUGGAGUUGGAGAGGCCUUGCUUCGUAACUGGGCGUCUUCAGCAAGUUUGAGCUGUUGAUGGCCAAAUGGCUGGGAAAAUUUCGCCUGUUAUAGGGCUAUACCGAUUGAGAACCCGUAGAAAUUGCAUGUAACUAGGAUGAUCAUGACAUCUCUCGAAGAAAAAUUGUAUAUUCCACUCUAUUUACAGAAAUUAAUUGCACUGAUAUAUACAUGCUGGUGGGUGUCAAUGGCAUUAAAUCUUUUAAUUUGACCCAGUUAGAUUUGCAAGGAUUUUCCCAGUCAAGAAAUAUAUAUCGCGUACGCAUCCUGGAAAUACACAUAAUAGACGAAUAUUUAUUUGAAACAGCACUAAGACAUUUUCCCCCUUUCAAUAAUGCACCUUAUAUAGUUCAGUUGCGUGACAAACCAAGAGGGGAAUGUACUAUUUUCCCUCACACAUGGAUGUAAUUCUCUUGUUCAUGGUUCAGGAUAACAAAUAUCUACAUAUUUCAUCACCUGAAAAGAAGAUACCUUUCCAAACUGAAAGAGAAUGUACUAUUGGAUUUUCUAGUUCAAGAAAAGAUACAGUAGAAACUGCGUUUUCAUUAUUUAGGAAAACCAUAUAUUUCUCAAGGUGUGAACAUAUAUAAUAUCCUGCAAUGGGGGCCUGAUUGUAGCAGAUGCCAUUUCUUGGUUAUAUAUUUUUAGUAUAAUUUUAAUCAUUCCACAAAUUUAGGAGCAUGCAAUCAUAACUGUUACAGACAACACUAAGAUAUAAUCCAUUGUAUAAUAUGUUUUUAAUCUGACCGUGGUGACCUACUUAAUGCCCUGAGAUGGGUGUAAUUACGUCACCCACCGGCAGAUUGUAGCCUCCUUUGUACCCACCCACCGACUGAGGGGUAGCUCCUUAAAUAUGAGUACCACGAUAUCCAACCUUUCUUCUUAAACUCGAGAAUUCUAUCAAAAGCACAUGUCAUGGUUUAGAUACACAUAUAGCUAAGAUGUACAUAAAACAUAUAAAUAACUAAUAGAUCCAGUGCAAUGGGGUGACCCCCCUCAAAGCCUGUUGGAAUGAAACAUGAACCUUUUUUAUUAUUUCUAUGAGAACUGAAACUGAAUAUAUAUACAAUUUAUUGUAUAUCUACAAAAUAUUUAUUUAGUACUUUCUACGUCCCAUAAUAUAAGAGUGUUAUAAACACUGCACUAGGUGUCACCUAUUUUAUUAUCGAGUAAAGUAAAUUCUGAAUGGUAGGAAUUUAGGCUUGGAACAAAAUGCCUCACACUUUGUCCAAUUUACAUAAUGAGUUUUGAUCUAAUGGGCUAUUUUGUUUGGGAAAAUUUUGGUUUUGUCACUCUAGUUUUUGCCAAAUUUUCUUAUGCCACUCUAGACUUUGAGAUUUCACUUUUGUCAUUCUUAGCUUUUGACAAUUAUCACAAUUUUCAUUCCACGGAAGCGGAAACUAAUUUUAUUUCACUUUUGUCACUCUUAGCUUUUGACAAUGUAUCAGAAUUAUCACUCUAAAUUUUUUGUUUAUGCCACAAAAUAGCAAUUGUGAUAAUUAUCAAAAGCUAAGAGUGGAAAAAUUAAAUGUCAAAAAUGGAGUGGCGUAAGGAAAAUUAGCAAAAUAAAUUUUUACCUUUUCUGUUUUAGUACUUUCUCCAACAUGGGCCUGCUUCUCAAAACACCUGGACCUCCCACGUUCAUAACGUCGACGUCCCCAAUGACAAAUUGCAUGAAUGCUCGUCUCCCUAUCCUGUUGCCACCUCAGCUAUGGUAUCCUACCGAUGCAAAUACUGGUAACAUUGUGCAAAACGCCGGUGCAGCAGGGCUUCAAGCAGACGAUAAUUGCAACCCUAGUCCAGGAUUACAGCCUACUUGGCCGCUCGUCAUGACCACUUCACCAACAUCACCCUCGAUGUCUUGUUCUCGGUUGUGGCUACCUAGCUCAUAGGCCUCUCCACCACUUCUACGCAGGCUGGUGACCAAUCCCAUCACCCUCCUCAAAGCUCCAACUUCCACCUAGAUUUCUACUCCAAUCCAUGGCAUCUAAUAGAUGUAAAGUGUGUCUUGAUCUUUCAAAGAGAAAUACACGUCGAUUUGGAUGGAUUUGACUAUGGCGAUCCGACUAUUACAUGUGACGAAGUUGUGCAUAUGCAAUCACGAAACUAAUUCCACCGUUUUUAUUGACCAGGUAGGAGCAUGAUCAACAAGACCAUGAAGGUCUAAUUUCUAGAAGCAAUUGAAAACUAAAAAGAUAUAAUAUAUAAUCUGAAUAUUGCGAAUAUAGAUAAAAAUUAGGCAUCCUUGCUUGGAUUAGGCAUAAACGAAGUUCAAGAAGUUGCAUCUAUGUUGACUCUUUAAUAAACAAAACUCAUAAAAACUAAAGCACUAUGGGUGAUAUUUAUGGUUCGACAAAUGGAAAAUUCGGCUAGUCCCUAGGAGCAGGGCCGAAUCUCACCUUACGUCCGGUUUCUUCACUAAUAUAGAUGAUAAAAACUGCCUAUAGUCAUUUAUUUCAAAAAUAUAUGGGUCUGCAAAACCUACACAAAUUUCAUUCGGCGUCGAAUCUAAAUAUUCUUUUAGCAAAUAAUACAUGUUUCGUUAGUCAAAAUGAAUUCCCAAAAGGCCGCACCCAACUUAAAAAACCUAUGGAGGCAGUACAAAUGUGUGGAAUAUUUAUUUAAAAACUGACGCACUAUAUAUAAACAUUGAACACAGCCUUCUGCUAAUGUAUUUUUCCUUUUUGAAAUUUACUGCUAAUGUCUUGCCAGUAUCUCUAAAUCAGUAAACUCCCUUUCUAUAUAUUUGCUGCCUUAGAAGACGAGAAGGUGUAUGGUCAGCAGAACGUUCCCUAAAGUGCAAGUGGUCGAGGACUCCAUAAUUAGUUGCAUACAUGUGAUUUUUGCUAGUUAUUACUGCCGUUCGUUUUUUCGUUUGUGUAAUGUGACACAACCAAAUCAAUAGAUGUUUUGUCGGAUAGUGAACCAUCCACUUGACAAUCAGUCAAUGGAAUAUAUACUGAUUGCCUCUUUUUCUACUGUAAUCAAGGCAAGGAUAAUAGAUUUCUCCAUCAUUGGCAAUCUUUGUCCCAUUAAUUGAUUUUGGUUGAACUUUAUAACUCGUUUUUGUGGUGAGCUAGCUGUGAUUUUACUCGCUGACUCCUUACUUCGCGGCUGCGCAUACGUACACACGGAGAUAUAUUUUUUUAAAUGGAGGAAAAAGUUUUUCCUCAUCCAUUAAAUAAUAGAGGAAAAUCGGGCAAAAACAAUUACAAACCGCUGAGCAGCACACACUGGAUAUCCCACACAUACUUUGCGACAAGGGCAUCAUCAAGACAACACGCAAGCGCAGGGGCGGAGACAGGACCCCGAGCUCCCAGGGCCUGGGCCUGGGUAAAGAGACCCAUCUUCUUUGUUGAGUGUAGCAAUUAUUAAGGGUAUGAGACCAAAAUUCAGGAUAUUUUUUAAGGCGGCCCCGGGUUUGAUGUUUGCCUCGCUCCGCCCAGGGUUUGAUGUUUGCCUCGCUCCGCCCCUGCGCAAGUGUCAUCAUCAUCACUUCUUCCCUAGUAGGCCUCACCGCCAACCCUAAAACAUUGAGCAAACGGCUCCGACUUCACCAUAGAUAAUCAUAACCCCACCCACACUGAAAAGGCAAGUGGAGCCACAUGAAGACCCAUGCUAGAACUCAGUCACCCACGACAAGACAGCGCAACUCCAAUUCUGACCGAGAACUACGAAGGAGAACUAGACAAGGUUGGCGGCGUGGAUGAUCACUGAAUGGACCACCCGUCACCCAUCAUCGUAUACCAUCGGGCCCUACCACAUAAGCUUCGACUUCACCGCGACAAAUAGCCGAGGCAAUCACCCAGACACGACGGAGAAGAGCCGACUACCUCAACAGACGCCACAUCUCCGACCUUGCUCACCACCAAUAUUGUUGGUAGUGAAGCCUCAAUGCAAACACCGACGCCAUCCACUAGCCCCGCAUGUCGAUGCCCAGCUUCAAAGAUGAAGCCCCCUAGAGGGAAAACGACACCAAGGCGUCGCAAUCGUCCCAUCACCUGGGAUAAGGGUCCCCCCCCAAGCUGCAGCGUCGACUAGAUCCAUGCGAGAGGGGUGCGACAACUAAGCAGCAAUGCCUCCAAGAAGGUCAACAACAACCGCAACCACCUCCAUCGCUACUCACGUCACAAGGCCGAGACAUGGUUCUCACCUGAUUUUUACAUUAACAAGAGUCCACGAAAACCUACUAACAAAGGAUCUAGUUCCAAAAAUCUCGACACGAGAAAUCAAAGAGUGAAAAUGAUUCGUUAUUUCGACCCAUGGUUCAAAAGAUGAAACCUUUUGAUAAACGAAUCUACGCAAAAGAAAAACUCCUAGGUUACUAGUGCCCCACUUGUCAGCGCAUGAAAAGUUGGAGAGUGACCUUUGCAAAGGAUAAUUCUUAACUAGUGAUUUCGUUGGUUCAUCGAUUGUAAUUGUCUUACUUUUUUGUCCAUUUUUCCUAUUGUUUAUUUUUUGUUUUUAUUUAUAUAUUCAUAUUUUUUGUUUUGGCUUUAUCUUUUGUUCUUUGUGUUCUUUUCUUUCCUUUUUGGUGUUUUCAUUCUUCUUUGGCUUUCGGUUUCAUGAAUAAUCCAUGAAUAAUGUUUACAACAUAUGCAUACUUUUUCUAAAUACACAAUCACUUUUCAAAUUAAACGAAUAUCUGUGCAUUGCAUGGUCAUUUGGAAAAUACACGAUGAAACAUUAUAAAUACAUGACUUUGGUUUUGGGAAUUACACUAUCCACGUUUUAAAAUGCAUGAUGAACAUUUUUGAAAAGAUAAGAACAACUUUAAAUACACGGACAAUAUUUUAUAUUUCAUACAUUAAAACAUGUUUUAAAUAUAAGAUGGAUAUUUCUGAAUGUAUAAUGGAUAAUUUUAAACCAUGGAAACUAACUUUUAAUAAAUAAGAAUUAGUUUCGAAAUUGUACUAUAAUGUUUUUUAAAUAUAUGCUUUUUAAAUACUAGGUCAAACUUUUAGAAAAUUAUGCAUAUAUUCUAAAACAAAUAUUCAACAUUUUUGCACACAAUAAAUAACCUUUAAAACAUGAUAAUUUUUGUAAAACUUUAGAAACAUUAUAUUUUUUUUAGAGGUAACAAAACUGUAUAUAGUUUUUUUAGAGCUUACAAAACUGUACAUACUGUCGUAGAAAAACAGUUCAUAGUGCAGCAUUUUUUUGAGCAAAACUAGCUAGGUUGUGUUGAUCAAUAACAAUGUUUAGAGGAAUGGCAAUUGGAUCAUGAGGAGAUCCCAACCACAUGUGCCUCCCUUGUGGAAGAGAGACACCAAACCUAGCUAGAUUAUGAGUUUCAACAUUAGAAGCUCGAGGUUUGAAAUAGAAAUUACAAGUAAUAAAAGUUUGUAAAGUUUCUUGUAUCUCUUUGAAUAACCUCUCUGUCACUAGUGGAAAACGGGCCUAUGGCCGGGACCCUUUAGUCCCGGCCUACCUCUAGGCCGGGACUAAAGGCCCGGCCACGUCGCCCCAAUUCUCAAUGCCUCCCUCAAGGCUUUAGUCCCGGCCCGUAAGGAGCCUUUAGUCCCGGUUCGUGUCCCAAACCGGGACUAAAGGGCUACGCGGUGGGCAGUGGUGGUGGCAACCGUUCGUAUCCCCCUUUAGUCCCGGUUGGUGGCUCAACCCCGGACUAAAGGACUAACACGUGGCCUGCCAUAGUGGUGGCAACCGUUGGUAUACCUCUUUAGUCCCGGUUGGUGGCUCAACCCGGGACUAAAGACCCAAACGGUUUGCAUCCCGCGUUGUUUCGGGUGAUGAAAAGCACGAACCGAAGCACAGUCGCCAUUUCUCUGUUUCUUCUUCUCUCUCGCUCUCCCUAUCUGUUCUUCUCCUCUCUUCUUCCCUUCUCUUCUUCCACCAUGCCAACUCGCUUUCAAAAGGUGCUCGCACAUGGCACGACCAUGCUCGAUGUCGUGUACACGAACGAGAGCAGGGAGGUGCCGUUUUUUCUUGAACAGUUGAAGGAAAAAUGGUUUGACGAUGCAAUGGAUCAUGAGAAAUUCUUGGGGCUUGAUCUGGAGUACACGACCGAUCAACGCGGUGUUGCCGUCAUCCAACUAUGCUUCCCACGCCAUGUCUUGAUCUUUCAAUGGGUGAGGUAAGUUUUGAGGCUUUCUUUGAUCCAAGAUAAUGACAUUGUAAGUUUAUUUGUUCCAAUCAUAGUUGGUUCCCUUCAAAUAGUUGUAGUGAAACAAUUUUGAUUAGUUGAAGGGGAACACAAUCUAAUUGGAUAGUGUUCCAUAAUCUGAAAAUCGUAUUAGAAUCAACUAGUGUUUAAUAUGUUCCAUUGGAAUCAUAGUUGGUUCGCUUCAAAUAGUUGUAGUGAAACAAUUUUGAUUAGUUGAAGGGAACACAAUCUGAUUGGAAUAGUGUUCCACAAUCUGAAAAAUCUGAUUGGUUCAAUAUGUUCCAUUGAAAUCAUAGUUGUAGUGAUACAAUUUUAUGCGGUGUUCUUUGAUCCAAGGUUAUGAAAAUUGCAUAUAGCUAGUGAUCUCUCUAGGUUCCAUUGGAUAGCAAUAUGAUAUGUCAUAGUCAUGAAAAUUGCAUAUAGCUAGUGAUCUCUCUAUGUUCCAUUGGAUAGCUAUAGUGAUCUCUCUAGGUUCCAUUGCAUAUGUUCUAUUUGAAUCCUAAAGAUAAUUUUCUCUUUAGUUGUAGUGAAACAUGUUUCCUUAUUGCAGCAGUAUGUAACAUUUGUUCCAUUUUAAUUUGUUUCUGUUGCAGAAGUGACAAGCAUUGUCCAGAACUCAUGGACUUCCUUCGCAGCGGCAUCACUUUUGCUACCGUUGACAUAAGGAACGACAAGCUGAAGAUGAGGCACAACUUCGGUAUUGAGAUACCAACUGGUUGCUUCAUUGAUCUCCAAACGGUAUUCAGGCUUCGACAUGUCAGGACUUCGAUGGCUCAUAUGGCAGUUGCCUUGAUCGACGAGGAAUAUGGUGAUAUGAAGACCAGUUUCCCAAAGUGUCAGCACAAACUUUGGGAGAAGGCCCCACUUGAUCCUAUCAACAUUGAGUAUGCAGCAAAAGAUGCAUACGUUUCAUACGAGUUGUACCGCAAGAUUUGAGUCGUCAACUAUGGCCAGCGUCACCUCGAGGAAGGUGGACAUUCUGAUUCAGACGAGUAGUGUUCUCAACAUCGAACACUUGUAUAUAUAUCUAUGGUAACUAUUAUUAUGUACUGUUUGGACUAGUAUCAUGUACUGCUUGGACCAAUUUAUAUAUGUCUAGUUUCUGUUUGUGCCAUUAUAGUUUCCAAAUUUGAAUGGUUUAGCCCUUUCUAACUUCAUUUGCUACUUUUGAAUGGUUUAGCCCUUUCUAACUUCAUGGUAUCAUGCAUUUCGACCACAUAUAUGUACAAAAAGUCUUCAGUCAAAUAAGUUCAAAAAAUGAAAUCCCUUUUGUAACAUAUCUGUUUUUGAUUAAAACAGUCAUUUAAAAAUGAAAGACCAUUAGUCCCACGUGAUGUGCAGUGGAACCACGUGGCGUGCAGCGGAACCACGUGGCGUGCCGCGGAACCACUUUUGUUGAGGGGGUUGCUUCUCCUUCUUCUCCUUGUGCUAGAUAUUGGUUAUGCACUAGGGGAAGUACACGGAGUGCGGGGGUCGCUUCUACUUCGAAAGAGAUUGUCCAUUUUGUACACGAAGUGCAUCCAGUUUUUGUCGUAGCCCUCUCAACUUUUUAACACAUGCUAUGUGGGUGAAAUGAUGAUAGCAUGCCAACUUUCAACAUUUUCAGAGUUCAUUUGUAGUGCUUUUCAAUUUCAGGGUCAACUAGCUCAAAAAAAAUAAGUAAAUGCACGAAGAAUACCAAAUGAAGUCAGAAAUUGUUGAAAUUUUGUGAUGUGCCUUUGAAUGGUGAAUUUUGAACACACAAAAAGUAUGGAGUUCAAAUAAGUUCCAAAAAAUGAAAACCCUUUGUUAGAGAUGAGUUCUCGUUCGAAACGCUCAUACAUCGAGAGAGAUUGUCCGUUUUGUACACGAAGUGCAUCCAGUUUUUGUCCGUAGCCCUCUACUUAACUUUAACACAUGCUAUGUGGUGAAAUGAUGAUAGCAUGCCAACUUUCAACAUUUUUGAGUAGUAUUAKUUWGUWAGUUGUUUUUUUACAAUUUUCGAGGGUCAANNNNNNNNNNNNNNNNNNNNNNNNNNNNNNNNNNNNNNNNNNNNNNNNNNNNNNNNNNNNNNNNNNNNNNNNNNNNNNNNNNNNNNNNNNNNNNNNNNNNCCCCCCCGUAAAGGGGGUAAACCCCCCCCCCCCGUAAAACCCCGUUUAAAAAACGGGGGGGGUAACCCCCUUUUAGGGGGGUUUACGGGUUUACGGGUACCCCCCCUAAAACCCCCCCGGUUUCCCCGAAAAGGGGCCCCGUUAAUCGGGGACGUUUCCCCCCGGGGGUCGGGUUAGCCCCCCCCCGGUGAACUCCCGGAACCCAUUCGUCAUUCCCGGUACAUUCCCGGUAACUCCGAAACCUUCCGGUAAUCAAAUGAGGUCAUCCUAUAUAUCAAUCUUCGUUUCCGGACCAUUCCGGAAACCCUCGUGACGUCCGUGAUCUCAUCCGGGACUCCGAACAACAUUCGGUAACCAACCAUAUAACUCAAAUACGCAUAAAACAACGUCGAACCUUAAGUGUGCAGACCCUGCGGGUUCGAGAACUAUGUAGACAUGACCCGAGAGGCUCCUCGGUCAAUAUCCAAUAGCGGGACCUGGAUGCCCAUAUUGGAUCCUACAUAUUCUACGAAGAUCUUAUCGUUUGAACCUCAGUGCCAAGGAUUCAUUUAAUCCCGUACGUCAUUCCCUUUAUCCUUCGGUAUGUUACUUGCCCGAGAUUCGAUCGUCAGUAUCCGUAUACCUAUUUCAAUCUCGUUUACCGGCAAGUCUCUUUACUCGUUCCGUAAUACAAGAUCCCGCAACUUACACUAAGUCACAUUGCUUGCAAGGCUUGUGUGUGAUGUUGUAUUACCGAGUGGGCCCCGAGAUACCUCUCCGUCACACGGAGUGACAAAUCCCAGUCUUGAUCCAUACUAACUCAACUAACACCUUCGGUGAUACCUGUAGAGCAUCUUUAUAGUCACCCAGUUACGUUGCGACGUUUGAUACACACAAAGCAUUCCUCCGGUGUCAGUGAGUUAUAUGAUCUCAUGGUCAUAGGAAUAAAUAUUUGACACGCAGAAAACAGUAGCAACAAAAUGACACGAUCAACAUGCUACGUCUAUUAGUUUGGGUCUAGUCCAUCACGUGAUUCUCCUAAUGACGUGAUCCAGUUAUCAAGUAACAACACCUUGUUCAUAAUCAGAAGACACUGACUAUCUUUGAUCAACUGGCUAGCCAACUAGAGGCUUGCUAGGGACGGUGUUUUGUCUAUGUAUCCACACAUGUAAAUGAGUCUUCAUUCAAUACAAUUAUAGCAUGGAUAAUAAACGAUUAUCUUGAUACAGGAAUUAUAAUAAUAACUAUAUGUAUUAUUNNNNNNNNNNNNNNNNNNNNNNNNNNNNNNNNNNNNNNNNNNNNNNNNNNNNNNNNNNNNNNNNNNNNNNNNNNNNNNNNNNNNNNNNNNNNNNNNNNNNAAGGUAUUUCAAAUUUCACAAAAUGUCUAAAUUUAUUGAAUUUGAAUAAAAGGUAAACACAAGCUAGUUACCGAAGAAUAUACAACAAAAAUUAUCUUAGUAAUGCAGCAAGAAAUUCCUUCCACAAUGUAUGCAAGCGCCAUAUCGUGCUCUCCGUCGGUGGCUCUUUCAUCACAGCAGAUGGCUCCACGGGGUCGGGCAUGAUUCUUUGGAACUCUGAUUGGAGGAUUGCUUUCACUUCGUAGCGAUAAUGAAGCUCUCGAAGUGGAGAUCCACCUGAUAACAGAGGGCAUGGACAUGGCGCUUCAAUGGAUAGAUUCUCAUUUAUCUUUCAUGCUGGUUCUUCGGUUGCCCUGUUUGCCUUGGGAGACGAUACCUUGGCUUGGUGUACGGACAUCUAGUUGUUCUGAUCAAAAGGUUGAUGCGAGAAUGAGAGUUUAUGUCCUAGAAAGUAGCCUCAAUUAAAAAUAGGUUGGCUAAUUGUUUCGCCAAUUUUGGUUGUUCUGGAUGCAGUAUAAUGAAAUAAAACUCCUUAAUUAUCUGCAAAAAAGUGCUCCGGCCUUUCGUACCUUUCUACAUAUAACCACAAUAUUAUUUACCCAUGUUCAAGAAUUCAUGGAAUUAAUUAGUUAACUUGUCGAUUAAUCCAUACUUGUAGGGUCAUUGAAUAGCCGAUAAAAUAAUUAAUCAUUUGAUUAUUGGACUAACUUGCUGAUUAGCCUAUUAAUUCUCUAGUCGCCAACCAACCGAACAUGAUGAGGACAUUGAUACAAUUGUUACACCUGCUAUACCUACUGGACCAGUUACUAGAGCUCGCGCACGUCAAUUGAAUUAUCAGGUACUUUCGUUUCUUCAAAAUCCUUCUAAUGUUCAUGAACAUAUGAUGCUGCCUAAAUUAGAUACUUUUGUUUUGCAUAUGAUUGAAGGACCCGGCAUAUGGACAAGGAGGAUGGCAAUUGGAGCGGGAUCAAGAAUGAAGGGGAAGAUGCACAAGCGGGAAAGAACAAGGGACCUUCCGCUGGUGAUUAUUGGACUUUGAAGCCACCAUAAGAAAAACAUGAAGGCUUGGACGAAAUAUACAAGAUGUCACUUCAUAAAUUUCAUCCAGAGGCUAUUAUAGGUGUUGCGUCACCUUAUUUUUUGGGCCAGGGCCUUGUAAUUUCGAAAUACUACCACAUAGGCUAUUUUUAGAGUCAGUGUGUGUCGGGAAACCGAGUUUAGGGUCAUUUUCGGACUCCUCCUCCAAGGGUCACGAAAAUCCCUCUCUAUUCUCUCAUAUAUACAGCCCUUUGGGCACCAUUUAGACUUGUGUUUUGUUUCAGUUACAAGUUCUCCAUAGUUGUAACUUUGUGUCCUUCGUUUGUGUUCUACGACAAGACCGGCCAAGGCGUCACAGAGCUCCACUUUCAUCAAUAAAGAUUUCCUCUUAUAUUCGCAAUAUCUAGAUUGCAUUUUUAGCUUCUUGCUUGUUCUUCGUUUGCGUGCAGGAAACAAACCCUCAUGGUCAGGUUGAUCGUGCUCCGGCAUGGUCAAUAACCUCUCGGAGUUGGUUUAGCGAUUGCUAAGGCACGGCAUCUUCGCACGUUCGUAGUUGGAUCGUCAAAGUUUACUCCACCAAAACGAUAGCCACCAUCUCAUCGAAAGACAGGGACAACUUCGCAUCUAUCAGAACAACUACCGGUUAACGAUUUCCUCAACAAUGUUAUUUACUUUCUUUGUGGGGACUAUAACAACCAUAGUUAUUUAAAGUGUUGCAUAUAAGUGCUAUAUCUAAAAAUUUGCUACUAGUGCAAUUGUGCAAGUCUAUCUAAGCUUCUGUUAAUUCACCCUGUUUUAUCAUAUCUGCGUGGAGAACACAUUAUGGUGGAAAAUUCACUUUAGCGACUAGCAUGACAUAAAAUAUUUUUUAGGGAAUAGCAUGACAUAACUUCAUGUGUCGAAUAUUGCAUAAAAAUAUGCAUCUUAUUAAACAGAGCUACGUCCUAGUAUUGGCUUGAUGUUACGAUUGAUUUUUUUAAUGAUAACAGGAGAGUUGUUAAUAUUCAUUAUGAAGAAAAAUAUGGUACAAUGACCCAAACUGCUUGAUUUAUAAGAGGAAAACCAGUCAAAAACCUGCACAGUGCCUAAAUAGACUAGGCAUAAAGCACACAAAGCAUCCAACAUGCCAUAAGGUCACACUUCACAAGACACCCGACGGGGCACUCGAACACCUGCGCUGAUACCAGAGUACACACCAAAAACCAGCUAUGCCAAGAUGGAUCGAGUGAGGUGGCCAAGAGCAAUCCAAUAGGGUAUGUCAUCGUCAUCAAAUGCGUGUAGUAGGCGUGCCUUUAAUUUUACACCUCUAAGCUACACAUGCCUCAAAGGAGAUUCCACAUUCUCAUGAAGGAGCCAACGCAAUGAGAACACAGCCAUCUCACCACAAAAAUGAGUUAGAAAGUUCAACAAGACCAAUUAAUGAAACAACGAUCAGUAGAAAAAAGAGGCAUGCAUGUUGAUAUGACAGUAUCUAUCCCAUUGAUGGAUUGAGCUAUGCACAAAUGAAAUAUUCACUAUGCUACAAAUCAUGCAAUGACUCAAUGAUGUCACAUUAUGGAAACGAGGAAAAAAACGAUAAUAAGUACUACACCGAGAUUUGCAUAGCGUGGAAGGGUUUAAAUUUUGAAUUAUAAAAUAUGUGUAAGAUGGGGCGGUCAAAGUUUUAUAACAUGAUGUACUACAUUCAUCCUGGUUUACUAGCUAGUCCCUCCAUAUUUUGGGUCAUGUUUUAAUCAUGAUUUUAAUUAACAAAUAUAAGUCAUACAUAAAAAUAAUAUCAUUAGAAACAGACAUCCAAAUAAGAAUUCAAUAAUAUAUAAUUUUUAUGAUAUGCACUAACAUUUCCUAGUUAAAUANNNNNNNNNNNNNNNNNNNNNNNNNNNNNNNNNNNNNNNNNNNNNNNNNNNNNNNNNNNNNNNNNNNNNNNNNNNNNNNNNNNNNNNNNNNNNNNNNNNNAUGUUUAUAUAUAGUGCGUCAGUUUUUAAAUAAAUAUUCCACACAUUUGUACUGCCUCCAUAGGUUUUUUAAGUUGGGUGCGGCCUUUUGGGAAUUCAUUUUGACUAACGAAACAUGUAUUAUUUGCUAAAAGAAUAUUUAGAUUCGACGCCGAAUGAAAUUUGUGUAGGUUUUGCAGACCCAUAUAUUUUUGAAAUAAAUGACUAUAGGCAGUUUUUAUCAUCUAUAUUAGUGAAGAAACCGGACGUAAGGUGAGAUUCGGCCCUGCUCCUAGGGACUAGCCGAAUUUUCCAUUUGUCGAACCAUAAAUAUCACCCAUAGUGCUUUAGUUUUUAUGAGUUUUGUUUAUUAAAGAGUCAACAUAGAUGCAACUUCUUGAACUUCGUUUAUGCCUAAUCCAAGCAAGGAUGCCUAAUUUUUAUCUAUAUUCGCAAUAUCCAGAUUAUUUAUUAUAUCUUUUUAGUUUUCAAUUGCUUCUAGAAAUUAAACCUUCAUGGUCUUGUUGAUCAUGCUCCUACCUGGUCAAUAAAAACGGUGGAAUUAGUUUAGUGAUUGCAUAUGCACAACUUCGUCACAUGUAAUAGUCCGAUCGCCAUAGUCAAAUCCAUCCAAAUCGACGUGUAUUUCUCUUUGAAAGAUCAAGACACACUUUGCAUCUAUUAGAUGCCAUGGAUUGGAGUAGAAAUCUAGGUGGAAGUUGGAGCUUUGAGGAGGGUGAUGGGAUUGGUCACCAGCCUGCGUAGAAGUGGUGGAGAGGCCUAUGAGCUAGGUAGCCACAACCGAGAACAAGACAUCGAGGGUGAUGUUGGUGAAGUGGUCAUGACGAGCGGCCAAGUAGGCUGUAAUCCUGGACUAGGGUUGCAAUUAUCGUCUGCUUGAAGCCCUGCUGCACCGGCGUUUUGCACAAUGUUACCAGUAUUUGCAUCGGUNNNNNNNNNNNNNNNNNNNNNNNNNNNNNNNNNNNNNNNNNNNNNNNNNNNNNNNNNNNNNNNNNNNNNNNNNNNNNNNNNNNNNNNNNNNNNNNNNNNNAUCGUUUGAACCUCAGUGCCAAGGAUUCAUUUAAUCCCGUACGUCAUUCCCUUUAUCCUUCGGUAUGUUACUUGCCCGAGAUUCGAUCGUCAGUAUCCGUAUACCUAUUUCAAUCUCGUUUACCGGUCAAGUCUCUUUACUCGUUCCGUAAUACAAGAUCCCGCAACUUACACUAAGUCACAUUGCUUGCAAGGCUUGUGUGUGAUGUUGUAUUACCGAGUGGGCCCCGAGAUACCUCUCCGUCACACGGAGUGACAAAUCCCAGUCUUGAUCCAUACUAACUCAACUAACACCUUCGGAGAUACCUGUAGAGAAUCUUUAUAGUCACCCAGUUACGUUGCGACGUUUGAUACACACAAAGCAUUCCUCCGGUGUCAGUGAGUUAUAUGAUCUCAUGGUCAUAGGAAUAAAUACUUGACACGCAGAAAACAAUAGCAACAAAAUGACACGAUCAACAUGCUACGUCUAUUAGUUUGGGUCUAGUCCAUCACGUGAUUCUCGUAAUGACGUGAUCCAGUUAUCAAGUAACAACACCUUGUUCAUAAUCAGAAGACACUGACUAUCUUUGAUCAACUGGCUAGCCAACUAGAGGCUUGCUAGGGACUGUGUUUUGUCUAUGUAUCCACACAUGUAAAUGAGUCUUCAUUCAAUACAAUUAUAGCAUGGAUAAUAAACGAUUAUCUUGAUACAGGAAUUAUAAUAAUAACUAUAUGUAUUAUUGCCUCUAGGGCAUAAUUCCAACAGUCUCCCACUUGCACUAGAGUCAAUAAUCUAGCCCUCACAUCACCAUGUGAAUUACAUUGUAAUAAAUCUAACACCCAUACAGUUGUGGUGUUGAUCAUGCUUUGGCCGUGGAAGAGGUUUAGUGAGCGGGUCCACUACAUUCAGAUCCGUGUGCACUUUGCAUAUGUUCACGUCCUCUCCCUCGACGUAGUCGCGGAUGAGGUUGAAGCGUCGUUUGAUGUGUCUGGUCUUCUUGUGAAACUGUGGUUCCUUUGCUAAGGCAAUGGCACCAGCGUUGUCACAGAACAAGGUUAUUGGAUUCAGUGCGCUUGGCACCACUCCAAGAUCCGUCAUGAACUGCUUCAUCCAGACACCCUCCUUAGCCGCCUCCGAGGCAGCCAUGUACUCCGCUUCACAUGUAGAAUCUGCUAUGACGCUUUGCUUGGAACUGCGCCAGCUUACUGCACCCCCAUUGAGAAUAAAUACGUAUCCGGUUUGCGAGUUAGAGUCGUCCGGAUCUGUGUCAAAGCUUGCAUCGACGUAACCUUUUACGGCGAGCUCUUCGUCACCUCCAUACACGAGAAACAUCUCCUUAGUCCUUUUCAGGUACUUCAGGAUAUUCUUGACCGCUGUCCAGUGAUCCACUCCUGGAUUACUCUGGAACCUACCUGCCAUACUUAUGGCCAGGCUAACAUCCGGUCUAGUGCACAGCAUCGCAUACAUGAUAGAACCUAUGGCUGAAGCAUAGGGCACGGAGCGCAUAUGCUCUCUAUCUUCAUCAGUUGCUGGGCACUGAGUCUUACUCAAUCUCGUACCUUGUAGAACUGGCAAGAACCCUUUCUUGGACUGUUCCAUUUUGAACCUCUUCAAAACUUUAUCAAGGUAUGUGCUUUGUGAAAGUCCUAUCAGGCGUUUUGAUCUAUCCCUAUAGAUCUUAAUGCCUAGAAUGUAAGCAGCUUCUCCUAGGUCCUUCAUAGAGAAACUUUUAUUCAAGUAAUCCUUUAUGCUCUCUAAAAACUCUACGUUGUUCCCAAUCAGUAAUAUGUCAUCCACAUAUAAUAUUAGAAACGCCACAGAGCUCCCACUCACUUUCUUGUAAAUACAAGAUUCUCCAACCACUUGUAUAAACCCAAAUGCAUUGAUCACCUCAUCAAAGCGUUUGUUCCAACUCCGAGAUGCUUGCACCAGUCCAUAAAUGGAUCGCUGGAGCUUGCACACCUUGUUAGCAUUCUUAGGAUCGACAAAACCGUCGGGUUGUAUCAUAUACAAUUCUUCCUUAAGGAAACCGUUAAGGAACGCCGUUUUGACAUCCAUCUGCCAGAUUUCAUAAUCGAAAAAUGCAGCUAUUGCUAACAUGAUUCUGACGGACUUAAGCAUCGCUACGCGUGAGAAAGUCUCAUCGUAGUCAACUCCUUGAACUUGUGAAAAACCCUUUGCCACAAGUCGAGCUUUAUAAACGGUCACAUUACCGUCAGCGUCCGUCUUCCUCUUAAAGAUCCAUUUGUUCUGAAUGGCCUUGCGGCCCUCAGGCAGUACCUCCAAAGUCCACACUUUGUUCUCAUACAUGGAUCCUAUCUCGGACUUCAUGGCUUCCAGCCAUUUGUUGGAAUCUGGGCCCACCAUUGCUUCUUCAUAAUUCGCAGGUUCAUUGUUUUCUAACAACAUGAUUGAUAAGACGGGAUUACCGUACCACUCUGGAGCAGCACGUGGUCUUGUCGACCUGCGUGGUUCGACAGAAACUUGAACUGGAGUUUCAUGAUCAUCAUCAUUAACUUCCUCCUCAACCGGCGUCGCAAUGACAGAGGUUUCCCCUUGCCCUGCGCAACCAUCCAGAGGGAUGAGAGGUUCGACAACCUCGUCAAGUUCUAUCUUCCUCCCACUCAAUUCUCUCGAGAGAAACUCCUUCUCGAGAAAAGCUCCGUUUUUAGCAACAAACACUUUGCCCUCGGAUUUGAGAUAGAAGGUGUACCCAACUGUCUCUUUUGGGUAACCUAUGAAGACGCACUUUUCCGCUUUGGGUUCCAGCUUUUCAAGCUGAAGCUUUUUGACAUAAGCAUCACAUCCCCAAACUUUAAGAAACGACAACUUUGGCCUUUUGCCAUACCACUGUUCGUAUGGUGUCGUCUCAACGGAUUUUGAUGGUGCCCUAUUUAAAGUGAAUGCAGCUGUUUCUAAUGCAUAGCCCCAAAAAGAUAACGGCAAAUCAGUAAGAGACAUCAUAGAUCGCACCAUCUCUAAUAGAGUACGAUUACGACGUUCGGACACACCAUUACGCUGUGGUGUUCCAGGCGGUGUUAACUGUGAAACAAUUCCACAUUGUUUUAAGUGAGCACCAAACUCGAAACUCAGAUAUUCACCCCCACGAUCAGACCGUAGGAACUUGAUCUUCUUGUUACGAUGAUUUUCCACUUGACUCUGAAAUUGCUUGAACUUUUCAAAUGUUUCAGACUUGUGCUUCAUUAAGUAGACAUAACCAUAUCUACUUAAAUCGUCAGUGAAGGUGAGAAAAUAACGAUAUCCGCCGCGUGCCUCCACACUCAUCGGACCACACACAUCGGUAUGUAUGAUUUCCAACAAGUCACUUGAGCGCUCCAUUGUUCCGGAGAACGGAGUCUUAGUCAUCUUGCCCAUGAGGCAUGGUUCGCACGUGUCAAGUGAAUCAAAGUCAAGUGACUCCAAAAGUCCAUCAGCAUGGAGUUUCUUCAUGCGCUUUACACCAAUAUGACCUAAGCGGCAGUGCCACAAAAAUAUGGCGCUAUCAUUGUUAACUCUAACUCUUUUGGUCUCAAUGUUAUGUAUAUGUGUAUCGCUAUCAAGAUUCAAUAUGAACACUCCUCUCACAUUCGGUGCAUGACCAUAAAAGAUGUUACUCAUAGAAAUAGAACAACCAUUAUUCUCUGACUUAAAAGAGUAACCGUCUCACAAUAAACAAGAUCCAGAUAUAAUGUUCAUGCUCAACGCAGGCACUAAAUAACAAUGAUUUAAGUUCAUCACUAAUACUGACGGUAACUGAAGUGACACUGUGCUGACGGCGAUUGCAUCAACCUUGGAACCAUUUCCUACGCGCAUCAUCACUUCAUCUUUCGCCAGCCUUCGCCUAUUCCGCAGUUCCUGUUUCGAGUUGCAAAUAUGAGCAACAGAACCGGCAUCGAAUACCCAGGCACUACUACGAGAGCCGGUUAAGUACACAUCAAUAACAUGUAUAUCAAAUAUACCUGAUUUUUCUUUGCCCGCCUUCUUAUCUGCCAAAUACUUGGGGCAAUUGCGCUUCCAGUGACCCAUACCCUUGCAAUAGUAACACUCCGUUUCCGGCUUAGGUCCAGCUUUGGGUUUCUUCGUCGGAUUGGCAACAGGCUUGCCGCUCUUCUUCGAAUUGCCCUUCUUGCCUUUGUCGUUUCUCUUGAAACUAGUGGUCUUAUUCACCAUCAACACUUGAUGCUCUUUACGGAGUUCAGACUCUGCGACUUUCAGCAUCGCAAACAACUCGCCGGGAGACUUGUUCAUCCCUUGCAUGUUGUAGUUCAACACAAAGCCUUUCUAGCUUGGCGGCAGUGAUUGAAGGAUUCUGUCAGUGAUAGCUUCUUGCGGGAGUUCAAUCCCCAGCUCAGCUAGACGGUUUGAGUACCCAGACAUUUUGAGCACAUGUUCACUGACAGAUGAGUUUUCCUCCAUCUUGCAAGCAUAGAAUUUAUCGGAGGUCUCAUACCUCUCGAUCCGGGCGUUCUUCUGAAAGAUAAACUCCAACUCCUGGAACAUCUCAAAUGCUCCAUGACGCUCAAAGCGACGUUGAAGUCCCGGUUCUAAGCCAUACAAGACUGCACAUUGAACUAUUGAGUAGUCCUCCUUACGUGCUAACCAAGCGUUCUUAACAUCCUGAUCAGCCGUAGCGGGUGGUUCAUCUCCUAACGCAGCAUUAAGGACAUAAUCCUUCUUCCUAGCUUGUAAGAUUAGCUUAAGAUUACGAGCCCAGUCUACAAAGUUGAUUCCAUCAUCUAUCAACUUAGCUUUCUCUAGGAACGUAUUAAAAUUCAGGAUGACUGUCGCGUGAGCCAUGAUCUACAACACAAAUAUAUUCAAAGUGGACUUAGACUAUGUUCAAGAUAAUUAGAGUUUAACUUAAUAAAAUUAUUCGCUAAACUCCCACUCAAAAAGUACAUCUCUCUAGUCAUUUGAGUGGUUCAUGAUCCACUUACACUAGCUCAAGUCCGAUCAUCACGUGAGUUGAGUAUAGUUUCAGUGGUAAGCAUCCCUAUGAUAAUCAUAUCAUCUAUAUGAUUCAUGAUCGACCUUUCGGUCUCAUGUGUUUCGAGGCCAUGUCUGCACAUGCUAGGCUCGUCAAGCUUAACCCGAGUGUUCCGCGUGCGCAACUGUUUUGCACCCGUUGUAUGUGAACGUUGAGUCUAUCACACCCGAUCAUCACGUGGUGUCUCGAAACGACGAACUGUAGCAACGGUACACAGUCGGGGAGAACACAAUUUCGUCUUGAAAUUUUAGUGAGAGAUCACCUCAUAAUGCUACCGUCAUUCUAAGCAAAAUAAGGUGCAUAAAAGGAUUAACAUCACAUGCAAUUCAUAAGUGACAUGAUAUGGCCAUCAUCACGUGCUUCUUGAUCUCCAUCACCAAAGCACCGGCACGAUCUUCUUGUCACCGGCGCCACACCAUGAUCUCCAUCAACGUGUUGCCAUCGGGGUUGUCGUGCUACUCAUGCUAUUACUACUAAAGCUACAUCCUAGCAAAAUAGUAAACGCAUCUGCAAGCACACACGUUAGUAUAAAGACAACCCUAUGGCUCCUGCCGGUUGCCGUACCAUCGACGUGCAAGUCGAUAUUUCUAUUACAACAUGAUCAUCUCAUACAUCCAAUAUAUCACAUCACAUCAUUGGCCAUAUCACAUCACAAGCAUACCCUGCAAAAACAAGUUAGACGUCCUCUAAUUUUGUUGUUGCAUGUUUUACGUGGUGACCAUGGGUAUCUAGUAGGAUCGCAUCUUACUUACGCAAACACCACAACGGAGAUAUAUGAGUUGCUAUUUAACCUCAUCCAAGGACCUCCUCGGUCAAAUCCGAUUCAACUAAAGUUGGAGAAACCGACACUUGACAGUCAUCUUUGAGCAACGGAGUUACUCGUAACGAUGAAACCAGUCUCUCGUAAGCGUACGAGUAAUGUCGGUCCAAGCCGCUUCAAUCCAACAAUACCGCGGAAUCAAGAAAAGACUAAGGAGGGCAGCAAAACGCACAUCACCGCCCACAAAAACUUUUGUGUUCUACUCGAGAAGACAUCUACGCAUGAACCUAGCUCAUGAUGCCACUGUUGGGGAACGUCGCAUGGGAAACAAAAAAUUUCCUACGCGCACGAAGACCUAUCAUGGUGAUGUCCAUCUACGAGAGGGCAUGAGUGAUCUACGUACCCUUGUAGACCGUACAGCAGAAGCGUUAGAGAACGCGGUUGAUGUAGUGGAACGUCCUCACGUCCCUCGAUCCGCCCCGCGAACAAUCCCGCGAUCAGUCCCACGAUCUAGUACCGAACGGACGGCACCUCCGCGUUCAGCACACGUACAGCUCGACGAUGAUCUCGGCCUUCUUGAUCCAGCAAGAGAGACGGAGAGGUAGAUGAGUUCUCCGGCAGCGUGACGGCGCUCCGGAGGUUGGUGAUGACCUUGUCUCAGCAGGGCUCCGCCCGAGCUCCGCAGAAACGCGAUCUAGGGGAAAAACCGUGGAGGUAUGUGGUCGGGCUGCCGUCGAAAAGUCAUCUCAAAUCAGCCCUAAAACCUCCGUAUAUAUAGGUGGGAGGGAGGGGACCUUGCCUUGGGGCUCAAGGAGCCCCAAGGGGGUCGGCCGAGUCCAAGGGGGGAGGACUCCCCCCCCAAACGGAGUUGGACUUGGUUUGGUGGGAGGGAGUCCCCCUUCCUUCCCACCUCCUCGCUUUUUUUUUUCUUUUCUCUCUUGAUUUUUUCUCCUUGGCGCAUAGAGCCCUUUUGGGCUGCACCACCAGCCCACUAAGGGCUGGUGUGCCACCCUCAAGGCCUAUGGGGCCUUUCCCCCGGGGGGGUGGGGUUUCGCCCCCCCCCCGGGUGAAACCUCCCCGGGAACCCAUUUCGGUCAUUCCCGGGUACAUUCCCCGGGUAAACUCCCGAAAAACCUUUCCGGAAAUCAAAUGAGGUCAUCCUAUAUAUCAAAUCUCGUUUCCGGACAUUUCCGGGAAACCCUGUNACGUCCGUGAUCUCAUCCGGGAUCCGAANACNUCGUACACANNNNNNNNNNNNNNNNNNNNNNNNNNNNNNNNNNNNNNNNNNNNNNNNNNNNNNNNNNNNNNNNNNNNNNNNNNNNNNNNNNNNNNNNNNNNNNNNNNNNAAAUUUGAAAUACCUUUGAAUGAUUCCAAGUUGUAUUAGUAGGUGUGGCAUUACUCUUAAGAAAGUGAGAUCCAUACCCACUUGCGCAGUCUAGACCCAUCUUUAGAGGAGAAACUGAUGGUCCAAUUACUCAUUUCCACCUGCAUUUGUUUGCCGCCAUCCGUUUCUUGCAGGGAAGGAGAUCAUGGGGGGAGAGAAGCCGAACAAUAAGAGGUAGUAGAGCAGACCUGAUUCUAAGGCUGUCUAACAACGUGCCAUGUUCCAGGUGGGCUUUUCUUUAGGGCAUAUAUUAGCAUAUGUGCCAAUUGGCUGGCAACUUAUAUCUCUAGCAGGCCACAUGCCUAUAUCCCAUGGGCCACGCAUGAAUGGAACAUGCACUAGUAGCGGUUAGUGGAACGGAGAGAUGCCCGAGGGGAAGCACCAGAAGCCAAAGAAUUAGGUAAUGGGCACAGCUAUUUACUGAGGAGACGAAGUGAACUUAUGCAGAACAUAGGCAUAGAGUUAUAUUACGUGGUCAGCGAUUGACCCCAUACAGAUUGGAACCUGACGAGUUGUUUGAUUUCUGUUGAGGUGAAGGCUGCAAGUUGAAUGAACGCCGACGUGACAUCAUGAUGAUUGUAAACAGUCUGCAUGUAGAGAGAAUUGCUAGUAGUGGUGAUCAACUUCUUAAAAAUGUAGGAUUUAGUGUAAACUGCAUGGAAAUAUUACUAGAAAAUGGUACAAAAUAAACUGUACUUAUCAGUCUGAAUAUCCACUUGAGGUGUGAAUGUAAUAUCCCACAAGAGUCUGUUCGUGUGUAAUUUCCUAGGUCUUUCCACUUAAAUCGGCACAAGUCUUUUGAGGUUUUCCCCCGUAAAGUCUCUUGAGAGUUAAUGUAAUAGCUCUCUAGCUAGCUAAUAAGUCUUGAUAUUCUACAUAAACAGCUACUGGUAUGCAGAUGGUAUACCUGUUAUGGCGGAUUUUUUCUUGAUUUGACUAGCCGAUGUGUAUAUAUAUGGUAGAUUUUUCCUUGAUCGUUCCAAGUUGGAGUAAAAUUUAAGUUCUGAAAGCAUCAAGUCAAGUCAUUUACAUGUAGAGUUUGGACGAUAUACACUUCCUGAUAAUUGAUUGGGCUAUUCGCUAAUUAACUAGUACAAAAUAAUCUUGGUAUUUCGUUCUGAGAAGAAAUGGACAAAUUAAUUCCCAACUGUUUCAACAAUGAAUACCUUUUUCUCGCAAUAGUCAUGGACAACCCAUUACAAUAACUAGAGGAUACCCCACGCGUUGCCGCCGGAAUUGGUUGAUGAAAUUCAGGGUUGAUAAUAUGAAAACUAAAAUUUAAAAUACAUAUUACUUACUACAUUUGAUUAUGUAUGGUUUUAAUAAUAUAUUUAAUAAAUAUAAGUAGAAUAACUAAGUGAGAAGGUAUUUUUCAUACAUGGUUGAAUGUUUAGGUUGGCUACAUUCAGAUUUUUCGCAUGUGUUGGUGCAAAAUUCAAACAUUGUUUUAACUUGCAAGUAAUGCUUUGUUAUAAAAAAAUGCUUUUUAAGAUCAGACUAGUCGUACAAAAUCAUACCAAAGGUGUUGUAUGCAUCCUUCUUAAUGUACUACUGAUAUGAAUUUCUACCAGAACUUAGUGUGCGUCUCUCUAUUGUGGCCGGGUACAAUUCGGAUAUUGUUCGGUCGUGCUGACGGGAAGUGACAUGUCAAUUAUUUUUUCCAUUACAACACACGGUCAUAUUUGCUAAUUAAAUGCUAACAAAAAAAACAUGUUAGUUAAGCUAGAUUAUGAUAAUACACGCAUGACCAAACACAUCCUUAAACACGACGGCGAAAAGUAUGUUCAGCUGCACAUUUGCUAGUAUGCGGGUCGUCCAUGACUGUAUACAUGUUACUUUUGCUACUUAUUACGGUCCGUUUUCUUCACUCAAUAAUGUGACAUGACCGAGUCUGUGCAUGACAGUGUGAAUUUCCCGUUAUUACAUGGUCAAUGAAAUAGAACAUAUGUGCAUGGCUGUUCUUAUACGGCAAUCAAAACAGUAAUAAGAUAGUUCUACUGAGUCACAACGUCCUUGCUUCCGGUAUAAUUAAAGAAGUGACGACAACGUCAGUUCCCAAUGGUCAUGCCACGUGGCUUUUUUUUGUCGAGAGUACCUCUCGGCGUAUGCUCCGUUUGUCGUUCGGUGCGUGUCCGCUAUGAAGCAUGCACUGCUGGCAAAGGGACGUUGUUGUCGUGAACCAGCGUUUGUCAAGGGUAGCUUUCGACAUAUAUUUGUUUGUCGAGAGCGAGAGCCAAACAGCCGGCGUAUAUGAAAAAUCCAGUAGUGAGUAGUGGUGAUCAACUUUUUAAAAACGUUGGAUUAGUGAAAACUGCACGAAAAUAUUACUAGAAAAUGGUACAGAACAAACUGUACUUAUCAGUCUGAAUAUUCACUCGAGGUGUGCAUGUAUGGCCUGUUUGGUCCAAACCAUACUUUAUCAAGUCAAAAUUUAACAGCCAUAGCUUAGUUGGCAUGUUUUUGAUUUUUGCAAUACUUUAUUGUCUCUAUGGCCCAUUUGACAUAGAGUUAAAAUUUCUUGCCAACUUUUAUCAAAGUUUGGCGUUCGUUUUUUCAGCCACUCUUUGUGGCUUGGCACACUUUGAUGGCUUGUCAACUUUGGCUUGACAAAAUUAGUCUUCAACCAAACAGGCCCGUAAUAUCCCACUAGAGUCUGAUAGUGUGUAAUUUCCUAGAUCUUUCCACUUCAAUCUGCACAAGUCUUUGAGGGUUUUCCCCCGUAAAGUCUCUUGAGAGUUAAUGUAAUAGCUCUCUAGCUAGCUACUAGGCCUUGAUAUUCUACAUAAACAGCUACUGGUAUGCAGAUGGUAUACCUGUCAUGGCGGAUUAUUUCGUGAUUUGACUAGCCGAUGUGUAUAUAUAUGGUAGAUUAUUCAUUGAUCGUUCCAAGUUGGAGUAAAAUUUAAUUUCUGAAAGCAUCAAGUCAAGUCAUUUACAUGUAGAAUUUGGAGGAUAUACAUUUCCUGACAAUUGAUUGGGCUAUUCGCUAAUUAACGAGUACAAAAUAAUCUUGGCCAAACGCAUCCUUAAGCACGACGGCGAAAAGUAUGUUCAGCUGCACAUUAGCUAGUAUGCGGGUGGUCCAUGACUAUAUACAUGUUACUUUUGCUACUUAUUACGGUCCGUUUUCUCCAUUCAAUAAUGUGACAUGAUCGGGUCGAUCAUCGCAUGACAGUGUGAAUCAUCCGUUAUUCCGUGGUCAAUGGAAUAGGACAUAUGUGCAUGGCUGUUCUUAUACGGCAAUCAAGACAACAAUAAGAUAGUUCUAUUACUGAGAAUCUUCAUUUCAUUGAUUGAUCUUGGUUGAACUUUUCUAACGAAUUUUUGUGGUUCAUCAUGCCAGUUCGCUACUCAGUGGCUGUUAAUACACGCAGACAAAUGGAUACUCUCUAGUCUCCAACUGUACGUGCGAACAUGGAAUUUCGUCUUACAGACAUCUAUACUUUGCCGUGGGUUACUUGUUGGCUUUUGAACAACUCUAGAUCAACAAACCAGAGAGCAGCGGCACACGCUAGUUCAAAGCUAGCAAGCUGAUAGGCUAAUAGCUGGAUGGAUCCUUUCACUACGUAGGAUUAGUACAUGCAUAGACGUACGUAGCAGCACGCCGGCACGCCUCCGGCAAGACGCACGCACACGAGAACACGAGCACACGCGAUUGGAUUGCCGUAGGCACGAUGUCUCGUGCCUGUUAAACUUUGUAUUGCUUUUCUUUUUUUGGUGUUAUAAGCACCACCCCUAAGGUGCCUUUUAUACACAUCCAUAAGGGACUAUGGAAAUAGACUAGGAUAUCCAAAUACUACUAGGACUCGAUUUGGCUUUUUUCCUAAUCCUAUGCGUACAGGGCAACGUGAUUAACUCACAUUCAUCCCCUAAUCACGAUGUCCUUAUUUAUGACCUGGGUCCCAAACACGAUUGUUGCUUCUCAUAACUGUUAUCAUCGGUAUGGCCUUUGCCGUCCCUUGCAGCAUUUCAUGGACUAUCUUUACUAUCGUCGGCUCGUCCGUAGCUUUAUGACAACACUCCUUUUUAGUCGUGUCUUCAAUCUUUACCUCUUCUUCGGUGCUUUGUAGACUGUCCUUCGGAUCAUCGAUGGCACAUCUUUUGAACCUGAGCGUGACCAUACUUUGGUCUAACUUUGAAUUCCAAGCUCUUGGCGCUUGCAUCAGCCCGUAAAGUGCCUUCUUGAGCUUGUCAACUUCCGUUUGUUCGUUUUUCUUCUCGUACCUGAGGGGUUGUUCUACAUACACUUCUUCUAUGAGAUUGCCGUUGAGGAAAGCGGAUUUAACAUCCAUAUGAUGAACCUUCCAAUCCUCUUGUGCUGCCAAAGCUAGGAGCACUCUCACCGUCUCGAGUCGAGCAACCGGUGCAAACACCUCAUCAUAGUCAACUCCUUGACGUUGUACAUACCCCUUUGCAACGAGUCUUGCCUUGUACUUCACAAUGGCACCCUUCGUGUCCUUCUUUAACUUGUAAACUCACUUCAAACCUAUCGCGUUUUGGUUUGGAGGUCGGGUUACCAAAGUCUGCGUGCCAUUGCUCUCAAUCGCCUUCAUCUCCUCAUCCAUGACGUGCGUCCAGCUAGGACUUUUGCUCGCCUCUACGAAGUUCGUCGGCUCCUCAACUACGAACAGACAUAGUACGGAGUACUCGAGCGUAACUGGCUUUGUGUACUUGUAGACUUUCUUGAGGGUCUUGUAGCGACGAGGCCCUGAGGAGUCCGUUGUGGCUUGCGAAGGAGGCGACACAAAUUGUGUCUGUGUUGAUGCACUUGAGGAAGACGGCUGAGUCCCAGGUGUGUCAUCGUUAUCCGUGUCGUUGGCGUAGUCGGCAGGACCGUGACCAUCAUCUUGAUUGUCGUCGUUACUAUGCGCCUCAUUGUCGAUGUUGUCGUCAAGAUCUCCGCAUGUGCCGUGCUCGUCGUUGUCACUAUCUCCUUACGACCUAUGCACGUCGUCGUCGGUGUCGGCACCAUGAUGAUCACUACCAUUGUGGUCACCUUGGUUGGGUGUCUUACCAACCACCUGGACAUCCUCCCCUGCAUCAUCAUCAGUUGGAAAUUCAACCGUGAAUAUGUUACUGUUUGGAGCAUCGUCGGUUGCGGCGCUCCAAUUCCACGCUUGGUUUUCUUCAAACACAACGUCGCGUGAAAUCCAUAGACGCUUGGUUUGUGGAUCGUAGAAGCGGUAUGCCUUGGUGCCGGAACUCCUCUCGUAUCCGAUGAACACCAUCUUGGUGCUACGAUCGGCAAGCUCUGAGAGGUGCGGCUUCGCCGUCUUCACAUGUGCCACGCACCCGAACGUCCGUAGAUGAGACACAUUCGGCUUACGUCCGUAAAUUGCUUCAUACGGAUUCUUGCCGAUCACCGCCUUCGUUGGAGCCCGGUUGAGAAGAUAGACUGCCGUCGAGACAACUUCUCCCCAAAAGGUCCCCGCCAGGUUCUUGCUCUUGAGUAAACUCCUUGCCAUGUCAACGACGGUUCGAUUGCGCCUUUCAACGACCCCGUUAUGUUGUGGCGUAUAAGGUGCCGUGAGGAACCUUUUUAUGCCAACCUUCUCGCAGUAGUCGUUGAACUCGUUCGACGUAAACUCUCCGCCACGAUGUGUCCGUAGAGCGCGAACCUUCAACUUGUGUUCCAUCUCCGUUGCAGCCUUCAGCUUCUUGAACACUUCAAACGCCUCAUCUUUAGAUCGUAGGAGAAUGACCCAAAUAUAUCUCGAGUAGUCAUCUACCACAAGGAAGAAGUACUUCUUUCCUCCCUGAGUUGCCGGGGUGAUAGGGCCACAUAGAUCACCAUGGAGCAGCUCGAGUGCAUCACUUGCACGAUAGGUAGACUCAGCAGGGAACGACAUGCGGUGUUGUUUCCACAAGCACCCGBCACCGUACUCGAUCACNNNNNNNNNNNNNNNNNNNNNNNNNNNNNNNNNNNNNNNNNNNNNNNNNNNNNNNNNNNNNNNNNNNNNNNNNNNNNNNNNNNNNNNNNNNNNNNNNNNNUAGAAAUCCUCUUGGAAUUUAGGUACCGGGCUGCCACGUCCAUGGUUUUGCAUACCCGGGCUAUGUAUUUUUUUUAUUAUGGGUGAAUAAAUGAGCUAGGGUGUUUAUCUGAAANAGGGCUACAAAAAAUUAGAGCUUAUAUACUAGCCUAUGUAGAACUUUAAGGGGGCAACAAAAUAGUACACUUACUUUGUUAGAUCACAUUGCGACCUCAAACGGACUGAGCAUGCUUUCAUGGAAAAUUAUUUAAUUUAUCAACAUUUUUUGUCGUUUAGGGAAAAAGUAACUAGUGGGACUUCAUGUGUCCGAUAUAGCAUGCAAAUAUGCAUCUCACUACGCAUAGUCCGSUUUUUGUUAUAGUUGCAUUGGUUGAUCCCACGAUGGAUUGAAACAAGCGGGCACCCAUUACGAGAUGGGGAGCGGCCCGGCCAAAUAUGUCAUCGUAGUCAAAUGCUUGCAGUAGACAUGCCUUUUACAUCGCUAAGCUACACACGGCUAAGAAAAUUCCAUAUUCUCACGAAUUAAGCAGCCAACGAGUGAGAACAUGACUCACCCUAGCUCAUUUUUUUGCCCCCUUAAAGUUCUACAUAGGCUAGUAUAUAAGCUCUAAUUUUUGUAUCUUCUUUCCGAUAAACACCCUAGCUCAUUUAUUCAUCCAUAAUAAAAAACAUAUCCUGGGGUAUCCAAACCCUGGACGUGGCAGCCCGGGACUAAUAAAAAAAAUAUUCUAGCAAUAUUAUGGGUAUCUAGAUUAUCCUCUCCUUUUGAUAACAAAAGACUAUAUCUCCUAGCUCCUUCUCAUACUCCUAAUCUCCUUGCUAAUCAUCACAUUUGCACACAUGCUCCCUUGUGAAUAGCAAAAAAAAACGGAAUGUAUACUUUGUGAUAAACAUUGACGAAUAUUUCAACUGCAAAUAUAAUUUUGUGAUAAAAUGACAUUUAUGGCGGCCUGGGCGAAAACAACCUGAAUCGGUGCUUCAAAAGGCUUCUAAGUUCUAACAUAGUAUUUUGAGAGCAUCGAUUUUUUUUUUGGACCAGACCUCCCUGAAAUGUCAUUUCAUCACGAAAUUUUGUAUGUGGGUGAAGAAUUCAUCAACGUUCAUUAAAAACUCUUAUUUUUUAUAAAGAAAAAACUAUCUUUAAUUUGACCAGUUAUCAGGUUGCAUGUGAGCUCGGAUCAAAAACUCCAUGUCCUCCUCCUCUACUUCCUUUAUUAGUAGCUCUAACAACCUCCAAGCAGUCCUAUGCAACCACUGCCUUCCACAGGUUAAUUAAGAUCCGGAGCUAGACGCAACGAUUACCAAUAAGCGAAAGAUUCUGCACAACUAGGAUCGAUGGUGCCCUCGAUCACUAGGACCGAAGCCGCCAAGAAAACCCCUCCUAGAAGCCCAACUUCCCAUCAUGACAUCUGCAUGACUACGGUCAAAAACACAUUAUGGUUGAAAUUUCACUUCCAUAUUUACAGUAGCAUGAUGGAAAUGUUUGUAUCCUAUCCACAGUCGGAUUGUACAUGUAAUAUUUGCUCGUACUGGCUAGUGCAGUUAGAACCGCUCCCGUAAUUAAGGGCAACUCGCGGGCUGCUGGUGCACGCUGGCCAGAAUAAGAGCAACACCUGCUGUGCCAUAUACGCGUGCAGGCGUGCCGAGGUCGAGCUCCAGUGGACAACAGCGGCUCGGCCAAGUAGUUCGUUGUCGCCAAUGGUUGGUUUUACGCUGCUAACCUACAGAGGACACUAAGAAAACCUAUUCUCACGUCCAAGUGGAAUGAAUAUCUCUUUGUCCGUGUGUACGUUUGCACAGCCGCGAAGUAAGGAGUCAGCGGGUGAAAUCACAGCAAGCUCACCACAAAAACGAGUUAGAAAGUUCAACCGAGAUCAAUUAAUGGGACAAAGAUUGCCAAUGAAAAUCUAUUACCGCUGCCUUGAUUACACUAGAAAAAUAGGCAGGCAUACCAGUAUCUAUUCCAUUGACUGAUAGUCAAGUGGAUGGUUCACUGUCGACAAAACAUCUAUUGACUCGCACUCGAAGGCAGCAAAUAUAUAGAAAGGGAGUUUAUGGAUUUAGAGGUAGUGGCAAGGCAUUAGCAGUAGACUAUGUUCAAUUUUUGUAUAUGGUGCGUCAAUUUUUUUAAAAGAUUUUACGCAUUUGUAAUGCUUCCAUCCAUUUUUUUAAGUGGGCGAGGGCUUUUAGGUGUCCAUUUUGACUAAUCUAACAUAUAUUAUAAGCUCAAAAAUAUAUAUUUAGAUUCUUCAUCAAAUGAAGUUUCUAUAGGUGUUGCAUGACCUUACUUUUUAUGCAGACCUAUAUAUUUUUUAAAUACAUGAUCAUAGGCAGUUUUUGCGUUUAUAUUAGUGAAGAAACCCAGCCUAAGGUGUGAUUCGGCACUGCUCCUAGGACUAGCCAAAUUUUCUCUUUGUAGCACCACAAAAAUCGUCCAUAGGGCUUUAUUUUUUACGGGUUUCGUUUAUUGAAGAGUUAACAUAUAGCUGCAAUCUUGUGUACUUCGUUCAUGCCUAAACCAAACAAAGUGUGCUUACGGAAGCAUAAUUUUUAUCUGUACUCGCAAUACCCAGAUUACAUACUAUAGUUUUUCUUAUUUUUCAAUUGCUUCGAGAUAUGAGACCUUCAUGGCCUUGUUGAUCAUGCGCUGGCCCGGUCAAUAAAACUGUGGAAUUAGCUUAGUGAUUGCAUAUAUGCACAACCUCGACGAUGUGGACGCGCCAGGUCCAUGCGUUUUGAGAAGCAGGCCGGUGUUGGAAAAAGUAGUGAAAGAAAAAAAAACCACUAGAUUGGAACCAACGAUCCAAAUUGGACAAUGUGGGAGCCGUUCGGCUGUAAUCCUUAAUCCUUACCAUUGAUAAUUUACUUUACUUGAUAACAAAAGGUGCUCCUCAUUGAUAUAUUUUUAAACAUCUAAACAUGCCNNNNNNNNNNNNNNNNNNNNNNNNNNNNNNNNNNNNNNNNNNNNNNNNNNNNNNNNNNNNNNNNNNNNNNNNNNNNNNNNNNNNNNNNNNNNNNNNNNNNAUUUUACAAAAUUAUCAUGUUUUAAAGGUUAUUUAUUGUGUGCAAAAUGUUGAAUAUUUGUUUUAGAAUAUAUGCAUAAUUUUCUAAAAGUUUGACCUAGUAUUUAAAAAGCAUAUAUUUAAAAACAUUAUAGUACAAUUUCGAAACUAAUUCUUAUUUAUUAAAAGUUAGUUUCCAUGGUUUAAAAUUAUCCAUUAUACAUUCAGAAAUAUCCAUCUUAUAUUUAAAACAUGUUUUAAUGUAUGAAAUAUAAAAUAUUGUCCGUGUAUUUAAAGUUGUUCUUAUCUUUUCAAAAAUGUUCAUCAUGCAUUUUAAAACGUGGAUAGUGUAAUUCCCAAAACCAAAGUCAUGUAUUUAUAAUGUUUCAUCGUGUAUUUUCCAAAUGACCAUGCAAUGCACAGAUAUUCGUUUAAUUUGAAAAGUGAUUGUGUAUUUAGAAAAAGUAUGCAUAUGUUGUAAACAUUAUUCAUGGAUUAUUCAUGAAACCGAAAGCCAAAGAAGAACGAAAACACCAAAAAGGAAAGAAAAGAACACAAAGAACAAAAGAUAAAGCCAAAACAAAAAAUAUGAAUAUAUAAAUAAAAACAAAAAAUAAACAAUAGGAAAAAUGGACAAAAAAAGUAAGACAAUUACAAUCGAUGAACCAACGAAAUCACUAGUUAAGAAUUAUCCUUUGCAAAGGUCACUCUCCAACUUUUCAUGCGCUGACAAGUGGGGCACUAGUAACCUAGGAGUUUUUCUUUUGCGUAGAUUCGUUUAUCAAAAGGUUUCAUCUUUUGAACCAUGGGUCGAAAUAACGAAUCAUUUUCACUCUUUGAUUUCUCGUGUCGAGAUUUUUGGAACUAGAUCCUUUGUUAGUAGGUUUUCGUGGACUCUUGUUAAUGUAAAAAUCAGGUGAGAACCAUGUGUCGGCCUUGUGACGUGAGUAGCGAUGGAGGUGGUUGCGGUUGUUGUUGACCUUCUUGGAGGCAUUGCUGCUUAGUUGUCGCACCCCUCUCGCAUGGAUCUAGUCGACGAUGCAGCUUGGGGGGGGGACCCUUAUCCCAGGUGAUGGGACGAUUGCGACGCCUUGGUGUCGUUUUCCCUCUAGGGGGCUUCAUCUUUGAAGCUGGGCAUCGACAUGCGGGGCUAGUGGAUGGCGUCGGUGUUUGCAUUGAGGCUUCACUACCAACAAUAUUGGUGGUGAGCAAGGUCGGAGAUGUGGCGUCUGUUGAGGUAGUCGGCUCUUCUCCGUCGUGUCUGGGUGAUUGCCUCGGCUAUUUGUCGCGGUGAAGUCGAAGCUUAUGUGGUAGGGCCCGAUGGUAUACGAUGAUGGGUGACGGGUGGUCCAUUCAGUGAUCAUCCACGCCGCCAACCUUGUCUAGUUCUCCUUCAUAGUUCUCGGUCAGAAUUGGAGUUGCGCUGUCUUGUCGUGGGUGACUGAGUUCUAGCAUGGGUCUUCAUGUGGCUCCACUUGCCUUUUCAGUGUGGGUGGGGUUAUGAUUAUCUACGGUGAAGUCGGAGCCGUUUGCUCAAUGUUUUAGGGUUGGCGGUGAGGCCUACUAGGGAAGAAGUGAUGAUGAUGACACUUGCGCAGGGGCGGAGCGAGGCAAACAUCAAACCCUGGGCGGAGCGAGGCAAACAUCAAACCCGGGGCCGCCUUAAAAAAUAUCCUGAAUUUUGGUCUCAUACCCUUAAUAAUUGCUACACUCAACAAAGAAGAUGGGUCUCUUUACCCAGGCCCAGGCCCUGGGAGCUCGGGGUCCUGUCUCCGCCCCUGCGCUUGCGUGUUGUCUUGAUGAUGCCCUUGUCGCAAAGUAUGUGUGGGAUAUCCAGUGUGUGCUGCUCAGCGGUUUUUGUAAUUGUUUUUUUGCCCCGUAUUUUUCUUCUAUUAUUUAAUGGAUGAGGUAAAACUUUUCNCYAUUUAAAAAACUAUAUCUCCGUGUCUACGUAUGCGCAGCCGCGAAGUAAGGNGUCAGCGAGUAAAUCACAGCUAGCUNNNNNNNNNNNNNNNNNNNNNNNNNNNNNNNNNNNNNNNNNNNNNNNNNNNNNNNNNNNNNNNNNNNNNNNNNNNNNNNNNNNNNNNNNNNNNNNNNNNNAUUACGGACGUAGCCGAUGUGUCUCAUCUACGGACAUUCGGGUGCGUGGCACAUGUGAAGACGGCGGAGCCGCACCUCUCAAAGCUUGCUGGUCGUAGCACCAAGAUGGUGUUCAUCCGAUACGGGAGCAGUUCUGGCACCAAGGCACACAGGGGMUACGAUCCACAAACCAGGCGUCUACGGAUUUCACGCGACGUCGUGUUUGAAGAAAACCAAGCGUGGAAUUGGAGCGCCGCAGCCGACGAUGCUCCAAACAGUAACAUAUUUGCAGUUGAAUUUCCAACUGAUGAUGAUGCCGGGGAGGAUGUCCAGGUGGUUGGCAAGACGCCCAACCAAGGUGACCACAAUGGUAGUGAUAAUCAUGGUGCCGACACCGACGACGACGCGCAUAGGUCGCAAGGAGAUAGCGACAACGCCGCGCACGACACAGGCGGAGAUCUCGACGACAACAUCGACAACGAGGCGCAUAGUGACGACGACAAUCAAGAUGAUGGUCACGGUCACGACGACUACGCCGAUGACAUGGAUGUCGAUGACACACCAGGGUCUCAAGUGCAUCAACACCGACACAAUUUGUGUCGCCUCCUUCGCAAGCCACAACGGACUCCUCAGGGCCUCGUCGCUACAAGACCCUCAAGAAAGUCUACAAGUACACAAAGCCAGUUACGCUCGAGUACUCCGGACUAUGUCUGUUCGGAGUUGAGGANCCGGCGAACUUCGUAGAGGCGAGAAAAGUCCUAGCUGGACGCACGCCAUGGAUGAGGAGAUGAAAGGUCCUAAAGUUUUACGGGAACGUUAACGGACCCGUAAAAAAAGGUUUACGGGGGGUUAACCCNNNNNNNNNNNNNNNNNNNNNNNNNNNNNNNNNNNNNNNNNNNNNNNNNNNNNNNNNNNNNNNNNNNNNNNNNNNNNNNNNNNNNNNNNNNNNNNNNNNNGGAAGAUUAAGAAGAAGAAAGAAAAAGACGRAGARGARRAAAAGAGAGAAGAAAGAAGAAGAGAGAGAGAGAGAGAGAGAGAGAGAGAADAAUAAGAAGAAGAAGAAAGAAGAAGAGAGAGAGAAGAAGAUAGAAGAAGAAAGUAAAAGUAAAAAAAUUAAAUUUCUUAUUUGUUUUUCUUGUUCUCCUCUAUUCCUUUCUUCUUCUUCCUUUUUUUCUUUUUUUUUCUUCGAUUGAUUCUCUUCUAUUCCUUUCUUCUUCUCCUCUUUUUAUUUCUUCUUUUGUCUUCUUAUUUUUUAUCGGGUAUGUCGUUGACGAUAUACCCCUCCCGACCGAACUUCAACACGAGGGGGGGGGGUACCGAUAUACCCCCUGCCCGAUAACAUUAUUUUCCCAUGUAUAUGUAUGUCGCCUCGUUGUCGAUAUAACCGCCUCCCGGAUAACUUCCACAUGAGGGGCGGUCGAUAUAUAUCCACUCACGACCGCGAUAACUUAUACCACGGGAGCACCCCCCUGGGCCCUCUCGCUCGACCAAAACUCUCGAGGACGCCCAAACCCUAGAGAAAAAUGAUGUUCGUCUCCUACCCCCUCCCGUCGCGCCCCUAACCGACAAACUCUCUCGAGGCCACCCAAAUUUACCAAGUUAAAAGAGCGUUGUCAUCGAGGCCACCCCAAACCCUUGAAGCGUUGUGUCGAGGCCACCCCAAACCCUUGAAGCGUUGUCUAGGCCACCCCAAACCCUAGAGAAGCAGCGUCGAGGCCACUAACAUGAUUCUUUAUUGUGAUUAGCUAGCUAGUUCUACGUUUGCCACUAAUAUAUAUCCAUCUGUACCAUGUUUGAAUAAUAAUUGACAUGUAGUAAAUAUUUGCAGAAACUAUGGAUCACUCCCGAUAUGAAGCAACAGAAGCGAUGUUGGACAUGUUGUAAAUAUUUGCAGGUGGUUACCUCAAAGCCCGACCUUUGUGGGACAAGGCUGAGAAUGACCUGAUUGCUAAAGGGGUCAAACCAGAGACAUUGAGAUGGCCAGACCGUUGCUGGACUUGGUUCUUCGGGGUUGGCGGAACCUUGGACCCUGUAUCAGGGGAGUGCGUUUGGACGGAAGAGCAACUGCGAAUACCCGUCACGAAGCUUCAGCACUAUAUCGCCGCAGCACAGGAAGGGGCGUUCAUUCGAGACAGAGAGAAUGAAGAGCUCACAAUGGCCCUCGGGAAUCCUGAGCACCCUGGACGAACACGAGGCACGCCAGGCUCCCUUCCGUGGAAGGCUGGGUUUCCGGACGCAGGGGGUUACAAAACCCAGGAGAGGAGGAAGAAAGCGGAGCAUAGCCAACUGCAGGCGCUGCCCGAAAGGGUACAAGGGCUAGAGGAAUGAGAAGCAGAUUGCAGCAAACGACCUGCCGAAGCUUCCCCUGAAGCUAGCCGCCCAUCUCAGCGGAGAAGCAGCGUGGCUUCCACCAAGCAGACUCAGCAGCUGGAGCCUGUCUUCAUGUGCUACCCCGUGGAUGCUAUCACAGAGUCUCAACAUUGCCACCUUAUGACGCAAUGUAUGACAUUUAAAGUCAAGGUGGCUGUUGGCUCUGUUUUACCUAAUGAACCUGGCUCAACCUACCACGGCCAGCCGAUUCCAGAACGAUAUGCUAGGGUGAUGGUGGAUCAAAUAACGGAAGGAUUUGAGGAACUUGAGCGUGACCACCCUACGGGUGAAGGGGAGAUUCGGUUGGGUUCUUCUCUGAAGACUCCAUGCCUAUGGCGGAAGGAGCUCAUCCACCUUCCGAACUAUACGCCUCCGCCUCCUCCUCCUCCUCCGGCGAGUUAGGGCCCACCUCCUCCUCCGCCUCCUCCGACGAGUGAUCAGGGCACUCAGCCUCCUUCUCCGGCACGUGACGGCACUCCGCCUCCUUCUCCGCCUGCGCCGGCGCACCCUAGCAGCCAGCUGCCUCCUCCUUCACCGCCUCGUCAACAAGGGCUGAAGAGACCCACCGCCGCUCCGGCUCCUCCGGCGCGUAGUCCUCCUCCUGGUAAGAAAGGAAAGAUAGUCGCAGCCGCUCCGUCUGCUCCGACGUGUAGCAGUACAGCCAGAGGCAGGCAAUACAAAUACAGUCCUUCUCUGAAGCCUCUAGAGAAGUUACCAUACGAGAGGAGCCCGGAGGAAAACGAGAAGAUCGUGGAAGCCGAAGUGAAGAACUUCUUUGAAGGGGUGAAAGCAAAAAACAUCCACCUCCGGAGGAGAAGAUAGAUCCCGUAAAAGCAAAGCGUACUCUGGUUGCCCUGAAGAAACCACCAAAGUCUCCGACGAAAUGCAACUAUGAGCGCAUUAUUACAAAGUCAUUUAUCGAAUUGCACCGGUCGGAAAGUACUGUCAGUGAUCAAAGGUUAGCAGAACGACGAGCUGGGAAAAAAGUUGCCCAGCUCGGCGAACAAGCGAACCAAUCGUUCCCCCGCUCAAGGUGUCUAGCGAUAUCGUCGCUAAUCAUCCGGGGAUCUUGUUGCCUGGUACCAAUCCUGCAGAUUACCUGCCUGAUGAUGCACAUUUUGAUUUAUUGGAGGUGGACAAACACAAAUACGUGUACGGGAAGCCUCUCGUCAAAUUUGAAAGAUCUCUAACAACGAUGAUGUGAAGAUUCCAUGAUUGGUACAUGAAAACUUGCAAAGAGUCUGGGGGAGUAAUAUUUUGACGCUGGGAGUUAGAAAGGAGCAUGACCUCGUUGGACUUGAACUGUUGAUGGUUCCAUUUGAGGAGUUCUUCCGUUUUUUCAAUCUAAAGGCCUCGAUAAAUUAAUGAUCACUUGCUACUUCCUGUUAAGUAGUACUUACUUCGUUUCAUUAAGUCUCUAUAUAUAUGUUNNNNNNNNNNNNNNNNNNNNNNNNNNNNNNNNNNNNNNNNNNNNNNNNNNNNNNNNNNNNNNNNNNNNNNNNNNNNNNNNNNNNNNNNNNNNNNNNNNNNGCAUGCAAGCUUGCCGAUCGUAGCACCAAGAUGGUGUUCAUCGGAUAGGAGAGGAGUUCCGGCACCAAGGCAUGCCGCUUCUACGAUCCACAAACCAAGCGUCUAUGGAUUUCACGCGACGUCGUGUUUGAAGAAACCAAGCGUGGAAUUGGAGCGCCGCAACCGACGAUGCUCCAAACAGUAACAUAUUCAUGGUUGAAUUUCCAACUGAUGAUGAUGCAGGGGAGGAUGUCCAGGUGGUUGGUAAUGUUGGGGAACGUCGCAUGGGAAACAAAAAAUUUCCUACGCGCACGAAGACCUAUCAUGGUGAUGUCCAUCUACGAGAGGGGAUGAGUGAUCUACGUACCCUUGUAGACCGUACAGCAGAAGCGUUAGAGAACGCGGUUGAUGUAGUGGAACGUCCUCACGUCCCUCGAUCCGCCCCGCGAACAAUCCCACGAUCAGUCCCACGAUCUAGUACCGAACGGACGGCACCUCCGCGUUCAGCACACGUACAGCUCGACGAUGAUCUCGGCCUUCUUGAUCCAGCAAGAGAGACGGAGAGGUAGAUGAGUUCUCCGGCAGCGUGACGGCGCUCCGGAGGUUGGUGAUGACCUUGUCUCAGCAGGGCUCCGCCCGAGCUCCGCAGAAACGCGAUCUAGAGGAAAAACCGUGGAGGUAUGUGGUCGGGCUGCCGUCGAAAAGUCGUCUCAAAUCAGCCCUAAAACCUCCGUAUAUAUAGGUGGGAGGGAGGGGACCUUGCCUUGGGGCUCAAGGAGCCCCAAGGGGGUCGGUCGAGUCCAAGGGGGGAGGACUCCCCCCCCCAAACCGAGUUGGACUUGGUUUGGUGGGAGGGAGUCCCCCUUCCUUCCCACCUCCUCCCUUUUUUUUCUUUUCUCUCUUGAUUUUUUCUCCUUGGCGCAUAGAGCCCUUUUGGGCUGCCCCACCAGCCCACUAAGGGCUGGUGUGCCACCCUCAAGGCCUAUGGGCUUCCCCGGGGUGGGUUGCCCCCCCCCCCCCGGUCGAACUCCCGGAACCCAUUCGUCAUUCCCGGUACAUUCCCGGUAACUCCGAAAACCUUCCGGUAAUCAAAUGAGGUCAUCCUAUAUAUCAAUCGUCGUUUCCGGACCAUUCCGGAAACCCUCGUGACGUCCGUGAUCUCAUCCGGGAUUCCGAACAACAUUCGGUAACCAACCAUAUAACUCAAAUACGCAUAAAACAACGUCAAACCUUAAGUGUGCAGACCCUGCGGGUUCGAGAACUAUGUAGACAUGACCCGAGAGGCUCCUCGGUCAAUAUCCAAUAGCGGGACCUGGAUGCCCAUAUUGGAUCCUACAUAUUCUACGAAGAUCUUAUCGUUUGAACCUCAGUGCCAAGGAUUCAUUUAAUCCCGUACGUCAUUCCCUUUAUCCUUCGGUAUGUUACUUGCCCGAGAUUCGAUCGUCAGUAUCCGUAUACCUAUUUCAAUCUCGUUUACCGGCAAGUCUCUUUACUCGUUCCGUAAUACAAGAUCCCGCAACUUACACUAAGUCACAUUGCUUGCAAGGCUUGUGUGUGAUGUUGUAUUACCGUAGUCGGGCCCCGAGAUACCUCUCCGUCACACGGANNNNNNNNNNNNNNNNNNNNNNNNNNNNNNNNNNNNNNNNNNNNNNNNNNNNNNNNNNNNNNNNNNNNNNNNNNNNNNNNNNNNNNNNNNNNNNNNNNNNCGAUACAUAUACCAUGGGAAAAUAAUGUUUAUCGGGCACGGGGGUAGUAUGGUACCCCCCCCCCUCCGUCGUUGAAAGUUCGGUCGGAGGGGGUAUAUCGUCUAACGACAAUACCCGAUAAAAAAUAAGAAGACAAAGAAGAAAUAAAAAAGAGGAGAAGAAGAAAGGAAUAGAAGAGAAUCAAUCGAAGAAAAAAAAAGAAAAAAGGAGAAGAAGAAAGGAAUAGAGGAGAAACAAGAAAAACAAUAGAAAUUUUCUUUUUUUUCUUCUUUCUCCUCUAUUCCUUUCUUCUUCUCCUCUUCUUUUUCUUCUUUUUUCCUCUUCUUAUUUAUUUCUCCUCUUCUUCCUCUCCUCUUCUUCUCCUUUCUUCCUCUUCUUAUUUUCCUUUUUCUCCUCUCCGUCUUUUUCUUCUUCUUCUUAUCUUCCUAGCUAUAUAUAAUACUUUUCUAAAAAUGUAACUUUUGCAUAUAUAAAUCUUUUUCUUCUUCUUCCUUCUUCCUUCUUCCUUCUCUUCCUUCUUUUCCUAAAUAUAUAAAACUUUUCUAAAAAUGAAACUAACCUAAAAUGUACUAAAUCAGAGAACAUAUAUAGAAAAAACUAACCUAAGAUGUACCCAAAUGUACUAAAAAAUCUAACUUUUAUAUGCAUAGAGAACAUACAUACAUAUAUACAUUUUUAUAAAAAUGAMAAAAAACAAAUCAUCAUUUAUAUGAACAAAUGAAAGGACAGGGGUGGGCGGCGCUGGCCUGACCAAGGAGAGGCACGACGCCGGCGUCGGUGUAGAGGGCGGCGACGGCGGCGUGGUCGGGGCAGGGGCGACGGCCAUCGACGGGGCAAAGGGCGGCGACAACGUCGACGGGGCGGGUAGGGGCGCGGUAGAGGNNNNNNNNNNNNNNNNNNNNNNNNNNNNNNNNNNNNNNNNNNNNNNNNNNNNNNNNNNNNNNNNNNNNNNNNNNNNNNNNNNNNNNNNNNNNNNNNNNNNAAUCUAAAUAUUYUUUAGCAAAUAAUACAUGUUUCGUUAGUCAAAAUGAAUUCCCAAAAGGCCGCACCCAACUUAAAAAACCUAUGGAGGCAGUACAAAUGUGUGGAAUAUUUAUUUAAAAACUGACGCACUAUAUAUAAACAUUGAACACAGCCUUCUGCUAAUGUAUUUUUCCUUUUUGAAAUUUACUGCUAAUGUCUUGCCAGUAUCUCUAAAUCAGUAAACUCCCUUUCUAUAUAGUUGCUGCCUUAGAAGACGAGAAGGUGUAUGGUCAGCAGAACGUUCCCUAAAGUGCAAGUGGUCGAGGACUCCAUAAUUAGUUGCAUACAUGUGAUUUUUGCUAGUUAUUACUGCUGUUCGUUUUUUCGUUUGUGUAAUGUGACACAACCAAAUCAAUAGAUGUUUUGUCGGAUAGUGAACCAUCCACUUGACAAUCAGUCAAUGGAAUAUAUACUGAUUGCCUCUUUUUCUACUGUAAUCAAGGCAAUGAUAAUAGAUUUCUCCAUCAUUGGCAAUCUUUGUCCCAUUAAUUGAUUUUGGUUGAACUUUAUAACUCGUUUUUGUGGUGAGCUAGCUGUGAUUUUACUCGCUGACUCCUUACUUCGCGGCUGCGCAUACGUAGACACGGAGAUAUAUUUUUUUAAAUGGAGGAAAAAGUUUUUCCUCAUCCAUUAAAUAAUAGAAGAAAAUCGGGCAAAAACAAUUACAAACCGCUGAGCAGCACACACUGGAUAUCCCACACAUACUUUGCGACAAGGGCAUCAUCAAGACAACACGCAAGCGCAGGGGCGAGACAGGACCCCGAGCUCCCAGGGCCUGGGGCCUGGGGUAAAGAGACCCCAUCUUACUUUGUUGAGUGUAGCAAUUAUUAAGGGUAUGAGACCAAAAUUCAGGAUAUUUUUAAGGCGGCCCGGGUUUGAUGUUUGCCUUCGCUCCGACCCCAGGGGUUUUGAUUGGUUUUGCCCUCGCUCCGCCCCUUGCGACAAGUGUCAUCAUCAUCAUUCGUCCUAGUCGCCUCACCGCCAANNNNNNNNNNNNNNNNNNNNNNNNNNNNNNNNNNNNNNNNNNNNNNNNNNNNNNNNNNNNNNNNNNNNNNNNNNNNNNNNNNNNNNNNNNNNNNNNNNNNUUUUUACUAAUACAAUUAAAACAAUGUUUUAAAUAAUUAAGAUGGAUAUUUCUGAAUGUAUAAUGGAUAAUUUAAACCUAUGGAAACUAAACUUUAAUAAAUAAGAAUAGUUUGAAUUGUACUAUAAUGUUUUUAAUUAUAUGCUUUUAAUACUAGGUCAAACUUUUAGAAAAUUAAUGCAUAUAUUACUAAAACAAAUAUUACAACUAUUUUUGCACAACUAAAUAAACUUAAMCYUUAAAMYAUGAUUAAUUUUWGUUAAAUUUWAGAAACAUUAUAUWUUUUUUAGUAGGUAACAAAACUGUAUAUUAGUUUUUUUAGAGUCUUAACAAAACUGUACAUACUGUCGUAGAAAAACAGUUCAUAGUGCAGCAUUUUUUUGAGCAAAACUAGCUAGGUUGUGUUGAUCAAUAACAAUGUUUAGAGGAAUGGCAAUUGGAUCAUGAGGAGAUCCCAACCACAUGUGCCUCCCUUGUGGAAGAGAGACACCAAACCUAGCUAGAUUAUGAGUUUCAACAUUAGAAGCUCGAGGUUUGAACGAGAAAUUACAAGUAAUAAAAGUUUGUAAAGUUUCUUGUAUCUCUUUGAAUAACCUCUCNNNNNNNNNNNNNNNNNNNNNNNNNNNNNNNNNNNNNNNNNNNNNNNNNNNNNNNNNNNNNNNNNNNNNNNNNNNNNNNNNNNNNNNNNNNNNNNNNNNNACGUUAYGUCYUAGCCWUAUGUGUUAUCUAAACCCUMMCWCWUGYUUUUCGUAGAAUUCUCGAGUUUAAGAAAGGUUGGAUGUGCAAACCAACCCGUGGUUGGAUGGUUAGGAGGACUGUGGUAUCCCCUGUCCACCAGAGUUCAAGUCUCAGACUUGACGUUGGUGCUCGCAUUUUUCUGGAUUUAUUCCAGGUAUUCCGGCGAAGUGCUUUCAGUGGGAGGAGAUGUUCCCAUCCACAGGAGUACUACGGCCGCCCCGAAGAAAUUCAUAUCGACUUUGAUGAACCCUUCCAGAUGUACAAUGACGACGCCCUCGACAAAUCGCUUAUGAGUUGCUAUUGUCUGUAAGUUUUUCAAUUCGUUGUCUACAUAUAACUUGUUUAGUUAUUUCAAUUCAUUGUCUAUAUAUAAAUUGUACUCUAUUAUGCAGAAUGAAGAUUCUGGAUUCUAAAAGUAAGAACAUCCUAAAUAUUGGGUUUAUUGACCCAGAUAAAAUACAUAUAGCGACGCUAACUGAUAAACCCAAGGAGACGGAGGAAAACCUUCUAAGGUUUCUAACAGAUCAAAAUUUCCGUGACCACAUACGGUUUCCAUACAACUUCAGGUGAGGGUCUUUACUCUGUUGUGUCCAUUCACUUAUAAGUGUAAUUGAUAAGUUACUGACAUAUAUAUAUAUAUAUAUAUAUAUAUAUAUAUAUAUAUAUAUAUAUAUAUAUAUAUAUAGUAGUAGUACGUACGUACGUACCGUUACSUUUACGGUUUACGGUUACGUUUACGGUUCGGUUACGGGUUACGUUAAACGUUAACUUAAAGGUUAAAGGUUAAAGGUAAAGGGUAAGGUACGGUAAGUACGGUUACCGCCUUACCGUUACCNNNNNNNNNNNNNNNNNNNNNNNNNNNNNNNNNNNNNNNNNNNNNNNNNNNNNNNNNNNNNNNNNNNNNNNNNNNNNNNNNNNNNNNNNNNNNNNNNNNNGUAGACCGAAUGNCAANGACAUGAUGGAUUUGCGUAACAGUUGUUCAAGCGGCGGANGGUCACGGGUGAACGGGCAACGAUCCUGUGGCGGACUUGGUAAACCUCGGGGCUCCCGGGUAAUUGCGACGANGUUCGNUCACGCCAGCGCAAAGCUUGGGUGCUAGGUCUAGGAACGGAUGCAGAUAGUUGUAUGGAUCGACAACAUCUAGAAGACUGAUCGUACUGUGCUGGAUUUUUGGUUGGUGGCUCGCUUAUAUGAUUUCCUAUUCUGAUAUCUUAGUCAUGCGGGGGUGUCAGAUAUCUAGUUUGAUGGUGUAUUCGAUCAGGGUGCUGCCCCACUUGAUUAUUUUAACGACAAUGGCUUUUUCUUUGAGAAUCUAGUUUGAAGGUCCGCAAAACUACGUAUUAGUGACGAAGCUGCAUGAACCUAGGGAGAAGAGGUGAUUCGUCGCAUGUUUUUUAUGGUUGUUGCAGCGGUGCCGAAGGCAUGCAACGAAAUUAAAGUCAUGCCGAGGGGAUUCAUCAAUUUUAAUUUUAGUUUUCUUUCUUGACUGGCGGUCCUUAUGCAAAGAUUAGCGUUCUGCUAUCUUUUCAGUUUUGUCAAGCCAUGUUUAAUGUGACUUGUACCUUGUCCUUUCUUAGAUGAAUGAAACAUGUGUUAUCAUGCAUUUUUUUUGCUAGUUCACAGUUAUGUAUCUAUAGCAACUUUUCAUGGUCUGUUUAUGCAUAAUUACACCAUACGUGCUCCGUUUCUGUUUGGCACUCCCUCGGUCCCUAAAUAUAAAUCUUUGUAAAGAUUUUUACUAUGGACUACAUACAGAGMMAAAAUGAAAGAAUCUAAUUAMYUUAAAAUAUGUUWAUAUACAUCCAUAUGUAGUUUAUAGUGAAAUCUCUAAAAAGACUUAUAUUUAGAAAACAGAGGGAGUACUAUAUGUUGCAAGUUGCAUGGCAGUGAGCUCCACAUCCAGCUAUAUAUAACCGCCAGGUCCAAUUCUGANNNNNNNNNNNNNNNNNNNNNNNNNNNNNNNNNNNNNNNNNNNNNNNNNNNNNNNNNNNNNNNNNNNNNNNNNNNNNNNNNNNNNNNNNNNNNNNNNNNNUGUGAGUAUGAAUCGNGUAUUAGNUAUUUCGCNGUGAUCCAUGUAUUUUGGAGUUUGGAGAGGGACCCUUUGGCUUUCGGUAAACUUGGGCGUCUUCAGCAACGUUUUGAGCUGUUGAUGGCAAUGGCUGGGAAAAAUUUUCGCCUGUUAUAGGGCUAUACCGAAUUGRGAACCCGUAGAAAUUAGCAUGUAACUAGGAUGAUCAUGACAUCUCUCGAAGAAAAAUUGUAUAUUCCACUCUAUUUACAGAAAUUAAUUGCACUGAUAUAUACAUGCUGGUGGGUGUCAAUGGCAUUAAAUCUUUUAAUUUGACCCAGUUAGAUUUGCAAGGAUUUUCCCAGUCAAGAAAUAUAUAUCGCGUACGCAUCCUGGAAAUACACAUAAUAGACGAAUAUUUAUUUGAAACAGCACUAAGACAUUUUCCCCCUUUCAAUAAUGCACCUUAUAUAGUUCAGUUGCGUGACAAACCAAGAGGGGAAUGUACUAUUUUCCCUCACACAUGGAUGUAAUUCUCUUGUUCAUGGUUCAGGAUAACAAAUAUCUACAUAUUUCAUCACCUGAAUAGAAGAUACCUUUCCAAACUGAAAGAGAAUGUACUAUUGGAUUUUCUAGUUCAAGAAAAGAUACAGUAGAAACUGCGUUUUCAUUAUUUAGGAAAACCAUAUAUUUCUCAAGGUGUGAACACAUAUAAUAUCCUGCAAUGGGGGCCUGAUUGUAGCAGAUGCCAUUUCUUGGUUAUAUAUUUUUAGUAUAAUUUUAAUCAUUCCACAAAUUUAGGAGCAUGCAAUCAUAACUGUUACAGACAACACUAAGAUAUAAUCCAUUGUAUAAUAUGUUUUUAAUCUGACCGUGGUGACCCACUUAAUGCCCUGAGAUGGGUGUAAUUACGUCACCCACCGGCAGAUUGUAGCCUCCUUUGUACCCACCCACCGACUGAGGGGUAGCUCCUUAAAUAUGAGUACCACGAUAUCCAACCUUUCUUCUUAAACUCGAGAAUUCUAUCAAAAGCACAUGUCAUGGUUUAGAUACACAUAUAGCUAAGAUGUACAUAAAACAUAUAAAUAACUAAUAGAUCCAGUGCAAUGGGGUGACCCCCCUCAAAGCCUGUUGGAAUGAAACAUGAACCUUUUUUAUUAUUUCUAUGAGAACUGAAACUGAAUAUAUAUACAAUUUAUUGUAUAUCUACAAAAUAUUUAUUUAGUACUUUCUACGUCCCAUAAUAUAAGAGUGUUAUAAACACUGCACUAGGUGUCACCUAUUUUAUUAUCGAGUAAAGUAAAUUCUGAAUGGUAGGAAUUUAGGCUUGGAACAAAAUGCCUCACACUUUGUCCAAUUUACAUAAUGAGUUUUGAUUCUAAUGGCUAUUUNUUGGAAAUUUGGUUUNCACUCUAGUUUUUGCCAAAUUUUCUUAGUNUCACUCUAGACUUGUAGUAUUUACUACUUUUUCGUUUACUUACUUUACUUUACGUUACGUUUUUACGUUAACUUAAAUUUAACUUACUACUAACUUUACUUACUUACCGUACGGUAACGGUAACGGUAAANNNNNNNNNNNNNNNNNNNNNNNNNNNNNNNNNNNNNNNNNNNNNNNNNNNNNNNNNNNNNNNNNNNNNNNNNNNNNNNNNNNNNNNNNNNNNNNNNNNNAAAUUGAUGAUGUGGCUUUGAAUGGUGCAUUUUGAACACAGAGAAACUAUGGAGUUCAAAUAAGUUCUAAAAAAUCGAAAAUUUCCCUUWGUAAGUACAGACGAGUUUCCGUAUGAAACCCUAAUCUWCAADAGAGAUUGUUCGUUUUGUACACGAAGUGCAUCCAGUUUUUGUCGUAACCCUCUCAACUUUCUCGCACAUGCUAUGUGGGUGAAAUGAUGAUACCAUGCCAACUUGGAACCUUUUCAGAGUUCAUUUCAAAUGCUUUUCAAUUUCAUGGUCUUAUAGCUCAAAAUAAUCAUUAAAUGCAUGCAAAAAUAACAAAUGAAGUCAGAAAGGGUUGUAAAUUGAUGAUGUGGCUUUGAAUGGUGCAUUUUGAACACAGAAAAACUAUGGAGUUCAAAUAAGUUCAAAAAAAUGUAAUCCCUUUGUAACAGACGAGUUUCCGGGACUAAAGAUUCAGCGAAACCACGUGGUGUGAGGCGCAAACACAUGGCGUGCCGCAUAUGUUAUUAGUCCCGGUUCAGGACAAAAACCGGGACUAAAGAUCUAGCGAAACCACGUGGCAUGGCGCAUAUGUUAUUAGUCCCGUUUUAGAUACGAACCGGGACUAAAGGAUUGCCUAUAUAAACCCUCCCCCUCCCACCCCUCUCGUCGUCGUCGUCGUCGUCGUCGACGUCGUGAGCAUGCAUGYCGURCGUCUUGCCACUSUASCGUACCGUUAACCGUUACCGUUACCGUUACCGUUACCNNNNNNNNNNNNNNNNNNNNNNNNNNNNNNNNNNNNNNNNNNNNNNNNNNNNNNNNNNNNNNNNNNNNNNNNNNNNNNNNNNNNNNNNNNNNNNNNNNNNCAUAGAAGUUAACAUGUCCAAAUCUAGCAUGCCAUAACCAUGAAUCAUCAUCACUCUUGGCGAGCCAACACUCCGGUUGAGAUUGAUCAAGGUUGAGGAUAUAGAGCCUGUUCUGUGUGCGAGUAACACGAGCUAGCACGUUUCGGAGGUUGUCGAAGAUCGUCAUCACUCCGUUCUCGAUAUGCACCUUGCAUCCAUUCUCGUCAAGCUUCCCAAUAGAGAUGAUGUUGUUGCGAAGCCGUGGGAUGUAGUACACUCCGGUGAGUAUGCGAUGUUCGUCUGUGAGACCCUGGAAGAGGACAGAUCCUUGCCCACAAUUCUCCACAUUUGAACCAUCACCAAACUUUACCAAGCCUUCAACAUCAUAUUCCAGCUCGAGAAAUUUCUCCUUGCAUCCCGUCAUGUGGUUACUGGCACCCGUGUCGAGAUACCACGACGCAUUGUGAUCCCCGGAUAACUUAGGUGUCACAUUCUUCUCAUGAAGUAGCACCUUCCGGCUUGGUUUCACACCCACCGUUUCAGCGAGAUCACAAACUUCGGCCAUCAGAAGACCUGGACCUUCGUCUUCCUGCUUUUGCCUAAAAUUUUUCCUGAUCUCCCGCUUGUCAGGGCCUUCCGGACACUCCUUCCNCCGGUACGGUCCGUACGUCGUCCUCCGUUACCGUUGUCGACCUGUCCGGUCCUUNUAGNNNNNNNNNNNNNNNNNNNNNNNNNNNNNNNNNNNNNNNNNNNNNNNNNNNNNNNNNNNNNNNNNNNNNNNNNNNNNNNNNNNNNNNNNNNNNNNNNNNNCGUUGGCUGCUUAAUUCGUGAGAAUAUGGAAUUUUCUUUAGCCGUGUGUAGCUUAGCGAUGUAAAAGGCAUGUCUACUGCAAGCAUUUGACUACGAUGACAUAUUUGGCCGGGCCGCUCCCCAUCUCGUAAUGGGUGCCCGCUUGUUUCAAUCCAUCGUGGGAUCAACCAAUGCAACUAUACAAAAAGCGGACUAUGCGUAGUGAGAUGCAUAUUUGCAUGCUAUAUCGGACACAUGAAGUCCCACUAGUUAUUUUUCCCAACGACAAAAAUGUUGAUAAAUUAAAUAAUUUUCCAUGAAAGCAUGCUCAGUCCGUUUGAGGUCGCAAUGUGAUAGAUUACUUGUUAUCUGAAGCAGAGUUCAAUUUUUUUCCGGGAGAACAUAGAGUUUAUCAAUGAUCCAGAUUGACACCACUCAAGAUAAAAAUAACUGGUUUGUGAAAAAGAGAUAAAAUUCACUCCAUGGCAAAAAAGAAGUUAAAACUCAAUACAAUCCAAAUCUAUUAAUACAUGUGAAUUCAAUACAAUACCAAUACAUGAACUUAGGACAGUGACGAAAUCCAUCAAGGACGUACAAACUACAAACAUGCAAUAGAUCGAUCCAUAUUUCUUUUCCACCUCUUUAUUAACCUCUUACAUUACUAUUAGAGUCUUGUAUAUGUAUUAUAUCAUAGACAAAGCACACGAAAUGAUGUCCAGAUCAUUCUUCUCUUCAUCAGUCCANACGAGAGGUUUAAAUUGUAUAUGUAAA
rnacentral:lncRNA from 1 species